rnacentral:lncRNA from 1 species
UUAGGUGUAUGUAUUUAGUAUAGAUUCUUUUAAUAAUAUAAUAAUAUUUUAAAUUAAAAAAUAAAGUAAAAAUGGUUAAAAUAUGAACAUUAUUAGCAGCAAAGAACAGUGAAUAUAAGUGUUUUACUGUGACAGUGAAGGUGGAGUUUGGAGUCUAGAGGUUGUUGAGGACGAUGUUGGCGAGAUUCAAACCUUCACAUGUGGUGUCAUCAUCAGAGAUCUUGGAAGAAAAAGACCAAGAGAACCCUGAGGUGGCAGAGAACCCAACGCUCACCCACUCCGGAAGAAGGCUCUCGAGCUCCACUCUCUGAGAGACGAUGUAGUUCGUUGGCUGAGAAGGGUAAACCAGAGAAGCCACCAAGAGCUUCGUGGAGGACUCAUAGGUGAUCUGAACCUCCGCGUUUUCUCCGUUGACCAAUUCCCACGGCGUCGUUUUCAUAGACUCGAUGGAGUUCACGUCGAUGCCAAUAUGACGGCCUUCGGGGUCCCACUCCUGGUUGACGAAGGUGUCGAACUCCACAGCCACAGUAUGGGCUUUGCUGUUGUAUUUGUCGCUGUCGAAAAGACCUAGAAAACCGCCUUGCUUUGUUGGGAACGAGAGCAAAGCCAAGGCCAUCGGCGGCUUUUGCUUUGUUGGGAGCGUGGAUAUUGAAUUUGAAGUUUGUGGUGAAGCUGGCGACUUUUCCGGUGGCGCUGUCUUAGAUUUGGAUGGGGGCGGAGUAGAAGGCGCGGCCCAGAGAGGCCACCGUGGGUUCUCCGUUGCUAUUAACAUUGGUUAGUCGUAACUGGCCGGAGGAUGAGACGGAGGCAUCGCCUUGGAGGAUAAGGUUGGUUUCGUUGAACCUAUCGAAGCUGAAGGAGGUUUCGCUGGCUGAGUUUGCGUGGCUGAGAAGCACAAGGAAGAGGCUAGGUUGAGUAAGUUGGAGGAAGCCAUGUAUGCAUUCAUGCAUUAACCAUCACUCUCUUCUCUAUUUAUACAACAACAAAUGCAAAAUCUUUCCAACUUUUUUAUUUCAUUCUAUUAUUAAAUACGUGUUUUCGAAUGAUUAACUUUUUUCUUUUAUAAUAUUAUUUGAGAGAGAAAUAAGAAUAUUAAAAUAAGAAUUAAGCAACGAUUGAUUUUACAACGAUUCAACGUUUUGCUACGAUUCUUAAUUACAAUGUGUCGAUAACUCUUUUUAAGUAUUUGGGUAUGCUGGUAGGGGGUGUCAUUGGAGAGGUGCUUUUUGAGCGGACAAAAAUUCCAAAAAUCCACCAUUUAUUAUUAAUCUUUUUUAUUAUUUAGGUAUUUUUCAGGUAUUUUAAGGUUUUAGUUCUCACAGUUACCCUAAUUAGAAAAUUCUAAUUUUUUUUUCAUGAUUUUUUAGUUAUAAAUUAGUGAUAUAUCAAAACCCUAUAAAUUAGUGAUAAUUCAUAUUUUUCGUGAAGGGAAUGCGUGUGCUAAUAAGUUGGCUAAUUUAGGAUUUAUUCAUAGAGAAUCAUUUCAUUGGUAUAAUAGACUCCCAGCUAGUCUGUUCUUAGAAUUCUUUAUGAAUAGGUAUAAUCUACCUAUUUAUCGUUUUUGUUAACAUAUGGGUUUUGGUCUAGUCCCGUCAUAUUUUUGUAUUUUCUUUCUUUUUUCUUUUUUUUUAAUAAUAUUUUUUUUAUGUGAUGACAAAUGAUUGUUGUUACUUGAGGUGUCAGCUUAGCUGAGAUGUCAAGUUGCAUAGUGAUGCCUAACACGAAAACUUUAUAUAAAAAAAAACCCUAUGGACAUAUAUAUGUCAGAUUUGUUAGAAUUUGCAUAUGGAGAUCAUUGUAAGAGCAUGACUGGAAGCAAAUAAUAAUAUUUAACUUAUUCUUUAUAAUUUUUUAACACUAAUUAAUGUGAAUCCUUUUUCCCGCCAUAGAAUAUGUGAGAAAUGGGCCACGUAUUUCCUUAAUUUCUAUAACUCUAAGAUAAAUAAUCAAUAAUAUAGGAAUUAGAUAGAUAGAUAGGAAUAUAUAUGUUAUUAGUGUUUGUAAUACAUCUUUAUCAAUGUAUAUAAUUUGAUUAUCUGAAUAUAUGUAUCAGGGCUAACUUAGUUUUAAUUGUACAAGUCAAUUUAGAUAGGAUUAACAUUAAACAGAAUGAACUAAACAAAAAAUUCUCAUUUAAAAUGGCGGCUUUUACCAUAACUGCCAUUUUAUAUCUUUCAAGAAGGUAUAAAUGACGACUUUUUAUCAUAACCGUCAUUUUAUAUCUUUAAGGAGGAUCUAAAACGGUGACUUUUUACCAUAACUGUUGUUUUAUAUCUUUUAAAAAGGUCUAAAACGACGACUUUUACCAUAAUUGCUGUUUUAGACUGAAUAUAACACAACGAUUAUAUAAUCUCUGUCUUUGCUUGAAAAGAAUAGACUAUAUGUUGAAAGACAACGCUACAAGAACCGUUGUUUUAAUACUAAAAUGAUCGUCGUGAUUUAAUUUUUUUCAUCAGUAAUUGUAAAGUUUCUUUUUAGAGUGUUGAUAAACAUAUAUCGAUUUGAAAUGAAUAGAGUUAGAAAGUAAAAAAAAAAUACAAGAAAAAUGUUAAAUAAUGUCAUAGAAAUAGAAAUGGAAGAGAAGUGUAAAGAAAUUUAAAUAAAAAUUAGAUGUGAGAGUAAGUUAGUUUAUAAAUUGAUUUGUUUAAUGAUUUAAUAACUGUAAAAAUCAAAUAAAAGUAAAUUAUAGUAAUAUGUACUAAGAUUUAAUGUAAUUACACCCAUGUUUCCUUUUUUUUUCUCUGUUAUACUUUAACUUAUAAUAAUCCUUUCCAUUAUUAUAAACUUUUUUAAAAUUACAUAUUUUUCAAAUUAUGCACUAAUAAUAUAAUAAUACACAUGCUGAAUAAUACGCAGUGUAAAUAUAUGAGCUCCUAUUUUAUUUAUGCUCCCAUUUGUGACAGAUGAAGAUUAUUAGCAGGAAAGAAGAGUGAGAGUGAGUAUAAGCAGGGUUUUACUGUCACAGUGAAGGUGGUUUUUGGAAUCUAGAGGAUCUUGUUGAGGAGGAUGUUGGCGAGAUUCGAAUCUUCAGAUGUGGUGUGACAGGAGAACUUGGAAGAAAAAGACCAAGAGAGCAGGUCGUGCGUUUCACUGGACACGUUAGAUGACCCUGAGGUGGAAGAGAACCCAACGCUCACAUUUAAUAAUAAUAUUAUGUGAUACCUCACAAUUAUUUAUCUUAUUAAUUGAUCAAUUACCAUAAUUAUCCUAUUAUAUUAUUGGUAAUUACUAUUAUCAUAAAUAAUUAGGGUUUCUUCUUGGGUGUAUUAUAAAUAGAGAUUACCAGACAACUAAAGAGACACUCUUAUAUUCUAACAUCACACGGUCGAAACUCAUUCCCUAAAGGGAUUUUCGAGCCUCUCAUCUCUUUGUCUCUCUGCUCACAUAAUUCCAUUUUAAGCGAUACACUCUAAAGGGAAACCCGAUCAAGAUCAUGUCUUCGUCCCUCAGCCAUGCGAUCACGGGUUUACCAAGUAUUAUCUAAUCAUUAUUCUCGUUUCAUUAUAUGAUUGAGGAAUCCUAAUCCAACAUGUGGUAUCAGAGUCAGGUUUAUGUUGUUUAAUCGAUUCUUCUUUUGUUUUCCCUAAAUUUGGAAGAAACGAGGAUUUUGAUUCAACCUAUUGAUUUUCGAUGUUUUUAUUUUGGUAUAUUAUUGAACCACUUAUUUUCGAAAAUCCACCUUGAUAUCAUAAAAUAAAUUUUAAUUUUUUCGAGAUCCAUAAUUAUUUUAAGAUUUUGAAAAUUAAAAUUUAAUAUUAAUGUUAUGUGUUCUUCAUAAUUUUCGUGAGUAUUCCCUUAUUUGGAAUGGAAUUAAUUUUGAUUAUAUGUUCAUCAUCAUUAUUUGUUGUUCGUAUGAAUUUUUGAAAAUUAUGAAUAAAGAAUUUUCAAAAAUUAAUUAUUCCCUUAAUUAGGAAAUUUUGAAAAUAAUAUUUUUCCUUAAUUCAAAUUUUCGAAAUACAAUUGAUUCCCUUAAUUAGGAAUGGAUUUGAUUUGAUUUGAUUGUGUUUUUCUAAAAAAAUAAAUAAAAAUUGAUAUCUUAGUCUCCACGUUUUUCCUUAUUUAGGAUAGUAUAUUCUUGCCUUAUUAAUUUUCGGGUAUUAUUAUUAUUAUUACUAUUUUCGAAAAUAGCAGUCGUGUCAAACUUGGAAACAUAUCAAUCUAAUUAAAAUUUUGAAGACCAAAUCUAAAAUCAAAUCCUUAAUAUUCCGCUACUCACUUAUCGAGUUUACGAGUAACAUAUUUACGCGUUUCCUUUUAUUUAUCGAAUUAAAUAUGGUAAAUCUCAUGAUACCGUAAUUAUGUUUUAAAAAAAAUACUUAUUUUGUUAAACUCUUAAAACAAAAAUAUUAAGUUUGACAAAAUUAAAAUUAAAUUUUUUGCUUAAACUUAAUAACAGGAGUCUCCCUUCUGUCCAACGAUGAUGGGUUAUGUCUUGUUAUUUUAGUCUAAUUAAGCACCUUCACUUACUUGUGAGUACACUUAAUUAUUAAAUAUUCGCAUGACAUUUGCCUAAAAACACAAUUAUUUCUUAUUUCUAUUCUGUCCAACGAUGUUUGAUGCACUUGUGUUUUGCAAACUUAAUAUGUGCAUAAGCUUAAAUGUUCAAUUCUGUCCAAAGAUGAUGUGUCACAUUCUUAUUGCACAUACCUUACUUAUAAUUGUUCAUUAUUCUUAAAUAAUUGGUAAUUAACCAAAGUGAAAGCUGAUUGUUUAAGUAGAACCUAAUCUAGUCUAUUAUUUUGAUGUUAUAAUAGAUUUUAUCACAGCUUCAUUAUCAUAAUGGUUCUUACUUAUGCCUGCUUUAGAUCUAAGUUUCCAAAUGUCACUCUAACUUUUUCCUUAGCCUAAGUAUCUUAAUUCGUCGUCUAACCAGCCCCUAAUAUGGAAAUUGAGACCUUGACUGGUGAAAAUCAUUCUUCUUGGAAAGAUUCCUUGAUGCUNNNNNNNNNNNNNNNNNNNNNNNNNNNNNNNNNNNNNNNNNNNNNNNNNNNNNNNNNNNNNNNNNNNNNNNNNNNNNNNNNNNNNNNNNNNNNNNNNNNNNNNNNNNNNNNNNNNNNNNNNNNNNNNNNNNNNNNNNNNNNNNNNNNNNNNNCAAUCAUUAGAGGAGGCAUUCCUGAUUCACCUAACGCUAAGGCUUAUCUAGCUUCUGUGGAGGAACAAUUUCAAGGAACCUCUAAGGCUCAUGCUAGUACUCUUAUCUUGAAGUUGGUGACUACAAAAUAUGACGGGCGCACCGGCAUUCGUGAACACAUCCUGAUGAUGAGCGACAUGGCCCGUAAACUUAAGGGAUUAGCCAUGGAGAUCAGUGAAGGUUUCCUAGUCCACUUCAUUAUGACUUCUCUUCCUUCUGCGUUUGAAGCCUUCAAAGUCAACUAUAAUACUCAGAAGGACAAAUGGUCCAUGAGUGAGUUGAUUGCUAUGACUGUUCAAGAAGAAGAGCGCCUGAAGUUGGAGAAACCAGAUGUUGCUUACCUCGUGGCUGCUGAGUCGAAGAAGCGGAAGGGCAAAUUCCAUAAAAAGGAAUCUAAUAAGGUCCCUAAAACUGAUGCAAGUGCACCCUCCAGCUCUAACAAAUUCACUAGCAAGUUCUACUGCAAGUUCUGCCGCAAGGUAGGACAUAAGCAGUCUGAGUGCUCAAGCUUUAAGGAGUGGUUGGCUAAGAAAGGUAAUCAUCUAAAUAUGAUAAUUGAGUCCUUUAAUUUAAAUGUUCCAACUAAUACUUGGUGGUUUGACUCUGGUUCUAUGGUUCAUGUGACCAAUUCAAUCCAGGGAUUCCUUACAAUCCAGAAGCUGGAAAGAAACCAAAGAACACUUAAGAUGGGGAAUGGACAAGAACUAUUUGUCGAAGCUGUCGGAAUCUUAGAAUUACUUAUGAAAACUGGAAAAUGUAUUAAACUUUAUGAUACCUUAUAUAUUCCCGAAAUUACUCAGAAUCUUGUAUUAGGACCAAAGUUAGACAUUGAUGGUUUUUAUGUUUCCCAUGGUCAUGGCAAACUUACUAUUUCUUUAAAUUCUCAAUUGUUUGGUACUGGUUUUCUGGAUAACGGUCUCUAUAAGUUAGAACUAGAUGAUAACUUCUCCAAAUCUUUGUUAUCAUAUAAUAUUAAUGAGAACUUAACAAAGACCAAGAGAAAACGAGACUUAGAAACUUCAUCCAUGUUGUGGCAUCAACGUUUAGGCCACAUUUCACGAGAUCGCUUAUCUCGACUUGUGAAGGAUGAAGUCUUACCAUCUCUCAAUUUCACUGAUUUUGGAACAUGUGUCAAAUGCCUCAAAGGCAAAAUGACAUCCACGACUAAGAAAGGCAAAAUGACAUCCACGACUAAGAAAAAAAAAUACAAGAAAAAUAUUAAAUAAUGUCAUAGAAAUAGAAAUGGAAGAGAAGUGUAAAGAAAUUUAAAUAAAAAUUAGAUGAGAGAGUAAGUUAGUUUAUAUUGAUUUCUUUAGUGAUUUAAUAACUGUAAAUAAGAAAGAGUAAAUUAUAGUAAUAUUUACUAAGAUUCAAUGAAGUUACACCAAUGUUUCCUUUUUUUAAUAUGUUAUACUUUAAUUUAUAAUAAUCCUGUCCAUUACUAUAAAAAUUUUAAAAAUUACAUAUUUUUCAAAUUAUGCACUAAUAACACGCAUAUAUGGUCAAACAGAAUAAACUAAAGCAAAAAAUUCUCAUUUAAAAUAGCGGCUUUUAUCAUAACGGUCGUUCUAUAUCUUUGAAGAUGGUAUAAAAUGAUGAGUUUUUAGCAUAACUGCCAUUUUAUAUCUUUCAGGAGGAUUUAAAACAACGAUUUUUUAGCAUAAUUGUCGUUUUAUAUCUUUAAAAAAUGCCUAAAAUGAAGACUUUUACCAUAAUCGUUAUUUUAGACUGAAUAUAACACGACGAUUAUAUAACCGUUGUCUUUACUUAAAGAGAAUGGACUUCAUGCUGAAAGACAGCGGUAUAAGAAUCGCUCAUUCAUGCUGAAAGACAGCGGUAUAAGAAUUGCUCAUUUAGUGCUGAAAUGACCGUUGUCAUUUAGCUUUUUUGCACCAAUAAUUAUAAAGUUUAUUUUUAGAGUGGUGGUGAUAAACAUAUAUCGAUGUGAGAAUAAGUUAGUUUAUAUUGAUUUGUAUAGUGAUUUAAUAACUGUAAAAGUCGAAUAAGAAAGAGUAAAUUAAAGUAAUAUUUUCUUAUGUUUAAUGUAAUUUAAACCAAUGUUUUUUUUUUCUAUGUUAUACUUUAACUUAUACUAAUCCUUUCCAUUAUUAUAAACUUUUUAAAAAUUACAUAUUUUUUAUUUUUCAAAUUAUGCACUAACAAUACGAAUAUGCAUGGUCAAUAAUACGCAGUGUAAAUUGUGUAAAUAUAUGAGCUCCCAUUUUAUUUAUUUAUUUUAGUUUGUGUGACAAAUGAACAUUAUUAGUAGCAAAGAAGAGUGAAGAGUGACUAUAAGUAGCGUUACCAUGAGACUAUGUUACUAUAUGAGACUAUGAGGUAAUAUGGCCUGAAAAAUGUUGAAGGAACUUGUCAAAGACUCAUAGACAAAGUCUUCAAGGGGAUUGGCCGGAACAUAAGGGAAAUGGUCGGAACGAUUUACGUGGACGACAAACUCAUGUGCCCAACACAUAAAGAUUUGAAAGAACUCUUUGAAGCUAUUAGGCUAUGAUGUUCAGACACUUCUCUUAAAUGAUGUGUCGGUGGUAGAUACUCAUAUCGGACACCGACAUUCGUAUGACACUUGUAGGACACGUAUUCGUGAAAUGUCCAAUUCAAAAAGUAUUUGUUGGAUUUUUGACAAUUUUAAUACAAUUCUAACAGAAUUUUAAAAAGGAAAAAUACAUUAAUUUUCUAAAAACUCAAACUUAUUGUAUAAAUUUUUAUUAUGAUUAUAAAAAUAAGAAACAAAUCAUUUUGAAGUAGUCAUGAAAAACAUUUUUUUCUCUUUUCUCCAAAAAACAAUCUGUAACAUACUUGUGUACAUAAAUCUUUAUUAUCAAUUUAUAUAAUUUAUAAUUAUAUAAUAUAUAGAUUCGUGUUUUCAUAUCCUACAUUUUAAAUAUUUAUUUUAAAUAUUUUCCGUAUCUUUACGUUUGUGUCCUUGUUUUAUCGGUGUCCGUGUUAUACAGCUCUUAAGUGAAUGAACAUGCGGCUAAAUCCUGAAAAGUUUGCGUUCAGGAAUAUAAGUUAUUGGGUUUAGGGUUUAAUCUCGAGAAAUGUAGGGCGAUAGAGAUAACAAGAUGAUCAAAAAUACAAAAAAAAGAAGAAGAGUAAAAUAGAGUAAACUCCAUUAUGUUAUUAUUUUGGAAAACUUUUCUUCAACAGUCCAAAGUUUGGAGUAAAAAACAAGCAUUUGACAGCUCCUUUUAAUAAUAUAAUAAUAUAUGAGCUCCCAUUUUAUUUUCUGUGACAGAGAAACAUUAUUAGCAGGAAAGAACACUGAGUGAAAGCAGUGUUUUAGUGUCACAGGGAAGGUGGAGUUUGGAGUCUAGAGGAUUUGGUUGAGGACCAAGUUGGCGAGAUUCAAAGCUUCAGAUGUGGUGCCAUCGGAGAGCUUGGAAGCAAAAGACCAAGAGAGGACGUCGUUCGUUUCAACGUUCCCUUUAGUAAUCCCAGUGGUGGCAGAGAACCCAACGCUCACCCACUCGGGAAGAACGCUCUUCAGGUCCACUGUGUCAGAGACGGUGAAGCUUGUUUUCAGAGAAGGGUAAACCAGAGAAGCCACCAAGAGCUUCGUGGAGGACUCAUAGGUGAUAUGAACCUCGGCGUUUUCUCCGUUGACAAAAUCCCACCGCGUCGUUUUGAUAGACUUGAUGGAGUUCACGUCGAUGCCAAUAUGACGCUCUCUGGGGUCCCAGUCCUUGUUGUAGAGGGUGUCGAACUCCACAGCCACAGUAUGGAAAUUGCUGUUGCUGCCGUCGAAAAGACCUAGAAAACCGCCUUUGUCUUUGGGCUGAGAGCCCACGGGGACGAGAGCAAAGGCAAGGCCAUCGGCGGGUCCUGCAUUGUUGGGAACCUGUAUAUUGAAUGUGAAGUUGGUGUCGAAGCUGGCGACGUUGCCGGUGGUGUAGUCCCAGAUUUGGAUGGGGGCGGAGUAGAAGGCGCGGCCCAGAGAGCCCACCGUGGGUUCUCCGUUGCUGUUAACAUUGGUUAGUCGUAACUGGCCGGAGGAUGAGACGGAGGCAUCGCCUUGAAGGAUAAGGUUGGUUUCGUUGAACCUAUCGAAGCUGAAGAAGGUUUGGCUGGCUGAGUUUGCGUGGGUGAGAAGCACAAGGAAGAGGGCUAGGGAGAGUAAGUUGGAGGAAGCCAUGUAUGCAUUCAUGCAUUAACCAUCACUCUCUUCUCUAUUUAUACAACAACAACUGCACUCUCUCUCUCUACUUUAUGGAUUCAACAAAUGCAAAAUCUUUCCAACUUUUUUAUUUCAUUCUAUUAUUAAAUACGUGUUUUCGAAUGAUUAACUUUUUUCUUUUAUAAUAUUAUUUGAGAGAGAAAUAAGAAUAUUAAAAUAAGAAUUAAGCAACGAUGGCAAUGCAUCCACGUCAUCCAAACAUUGAAAUAAUAUGAAAUAAUUACUUUAAAUUUAAAGAGAUAUUUAUGGAGAGAAGCGGUUGGCACGUAGUAGUGGGAUGUGAGACGUGUCAUAGUGUGAAAGCCACAGUGGAAAGUGACAGGAGACAUGGGUGAAGAGGAGGUAGAAAAAAUAUGAAAUAAGAAAGAGUAAAUUGUACUAAUAUUUCCAAAGGUUUAAUGUAAUUACACAAAUUUUUCCUUUUUUUUUUCUUUUUUUUCUAUGCUAUACUUUAACUUAAUAUAAUACAAAACUCUAAAAGAUAUAAUAUCUUGAAUGUACGUGAUGAUUAACUUUAGUAAAAAUCAAAAUAUUACCGUUACAAUUAAAGAUAAAAAAAGUGGUUUCAACCGGCCAGAGUUUAUUCUGGUACUUCCAAUAAUCUUAUAUGGUUAAAAAGUUGAAAUAAAAAAUAAUUUAAAUACACAUUUUUUUAUUAUUAUUUUUAUUUUUUAGUACGUCAAAAAUAAAAUAAAUAAAAUAUUUUAAAAAUUGAUAUAAGAAGGUGUUAUUAUUAUGGUAUCCUAUGUGUGUGAUUAUGUAAUAAGAUAGAAAGAGGUGGAAUUGGAAGAAGGAUGACCAUUGAAAAAAAGAUAAGAUAAGGUUUGUUUGAUGAGUGGGCAGAAUGUUGUGUUGGUGUGAAGCAGUUUGGCAGUAGCAAUGCAGGAGGAAGGACAAUCCAACGCACCAAACUGUACCACCUUCAUGAAAACUAUGCACACAAUCAAUUUCAACUAUUUUGUGGAUAUCAUUUUUCAAUUACAAUUGAAAAAAUUUGAUAGUUUUUUUUAUCAGUAAUAAAUAAAUUAAAUAAAAUAUUUUAUGAGUGUUUCAAUUCUUAUAAAAAAAUAUAUAUAAAGUUUUUUAACACUCAACCAACUGGAAAUCCAACCGAUACUGCAACAUAUCAACUAAAUUGACAUAGACAAGAAUGAAGAAAUGAAUAUUGUUGGGAAAAACGGGUAAUUUUCCCACUAAAACAAAACCCUAACAGAGCUACCCGACAAAUAAUAUUGAAUAAAUAAAGCGGAAUAAUAAAAGAGAUAAAGAGAAAAAAGACACCCGAAUAUUGUUAACGGAGUUAGCCUAAUCUCCGAGCACAGCUGAAAUAACUUGCUUUUAUUAUUAUGUGAGAAAAUAUUACAAAUUGAGAUAUCUAACAGAAGGAGGAGAGUUUAAUUUAUAACCCUCAAAACUCCUUCCCAAACAAUGAACCCAUCGAUGUGGGACUUGGGAUUAAGCCAAAAUCAACAAAUCUCCACCUUGGCUUAAUUUCAAGUCCCACCUAAAACAAAUCUUCUAAAAAACAUAACAAAAACAAACUUUGCAGUGUUUCAAAUUUGCGCCUCCGGGCGCCAACUUCAAAUGUGCAAGAUAUUAACCAAGUUUAAAUAGUGUUCAAACUUGGUCCUUGUAACCACCUUGGUGAGCAUAUCUGCAAGAUUCUCCAUAGUGUGAAUCUUCUGGAGAACAAUCUCCUCUUCUUCGAGAAUAUCACGCACAAAGUGAUAACGAACAUCAAUGUGCUUUGUCCGUGCAUGAAAGACUUGAUUCUUUGCUAAAUGAAUAACACUCUAACUGUCAGAAUAUAACUCAAGUUGUUUCUUACCAACUCCCAAGUCUUUAAGCAACCCAUGAAGCCAAAUUGCUUCCUUCACAGCCUUUGUAAUCGCCAUAUACUCUGCCUCUGUCGUAGACAAAACUACCGUAGACUGCAAGGUAGACUUCCAACUAACUGACACUUUUGCUAAAGUGAACAAAUAGCCAGUUGUAGACCGUCGCUUAUCCAAAUCACUUGCAUAAUCAGAAUCACAAUAUCCAACUAUGCAUUGACCAAGUGAUUCAUCUUGCUCAAAUGUCAAUCCAACAUCUAAGGUAUUUUGGAGGUACCGUAGAAUCCAUCUCACAGCUUGCCAAUGACCCUUGCCCAGAUUAUGCAUGUACCUGCUAACAACACUCACAGCCUAUGAAAUAUCUGGUCUUGUACACACCAUUGCAUACAUCAAGCUUCCAACUGCAUUUGCAUAUGGGACUUUCGCCAUGUAUUCUCGUUCUUCACCAGUCGUUGGAGAUAAACGGCUACUCAAUUUCAGAUGAGGAGCAAGUGGGGUACUUACAGGUUUUGUAUCUUCGUGUAUACCAAAACGUUGUAGUACCUUCNNNNNNNNNNNNNNNNNNNNNNNNNNNNNNNNNNNNNNNNNNNNNNNNNNNNNNNNNNNNNNNNNNNNNNNNNNNNNNNNNNNNNNNNNNNNNNNNNNNNNNNNNNNNNNNNNNNNNNNNNNNNNNNNNNNNNNNNNNNNNNNNNNNNNNNNNNNNNNNNNNNNNNNNNNNNNNNNNNNNNNNNNNNNNNNNNNNNNNNNNNNNNNNNNNNNNNNNNNNNNNNNNNNNNNNNNNNNNNNNNNNNNNNNNNNNNNNNNNNNNNNNNNNNNNNNNNNNNNNNNNNNNNNNNNNNNNNNNNNNNNNNNNNNNNNNNNNNNNNNNNNNNNNNNNNNNNNNNNNNNNNNNNNNNNNNNNNNNNNNNNNNNNNNNNNNNNNNNNNNNNNNNNNNNNNNNNNNNNNNNNNNNNNNNNNNNNNNNNNNNNNNNNNNNNNNNNNNNNNNNNNNNNNNNNNNNNNNNNNNNNNNNNNNNNNNNNNNNNNNNNNNNNNNNNNNNNNNNNNNNNNNNNNNNNNNNNNNNNNNNNNNNNNNNNNNNNNNNNNNNNNNNNNNNNNNNNNNNNNNNNNNNNNNNNNNNNNNNNNNNNNNNNNNNNNNNNNNNNNNNNNNNNNNNNNNNNNNNNNNNNNNNNNNNNNNNNNNNNNNNNNNNNNNNNNNNNNNNNNNNNNNNNNNNNNNNNNNNNNNNNNNNNNNNNNNNNNNNNNNNNNNNNNNNNNNNNNNNNNNNNNNNNNNNNNNNNNNNNNNNNNNNNNNNNNNNNNNNNNNNNNNNNNNNNNNNNNNNNNNNNNNNNNNNNNNNNNNNNNNNNNNNNNAUAUCCAUGAAAUGAGCAGGCUUCUGAAUAUCUCGUCUCUGUCUUCUAACUGCAAUUGGCUCUGAUUGUUGUUGAGAUUCUUGGGUAGGAACCUCUUCCUCAUCUGACUCUUCUUCUGCCAUAGGAGAGUCACUUGUGGUAUUUCGUGUUGGGAUCACCACUGUCGGCUCAAACUCCACCUGUUGCGGAGUACUAUCAGCUCCUUCUGGAUUUACUUUCUUUAACAUGGCAGAUUCAUCAAAGGUAACAUCCCUGCUGAUAAUCGUCUUCUUUGCCUCUAGACACCACAAACGGUAUCCCUUCACUCCAGGACUAAAGCCCAUGAAAAGAGCUUUCAUUGCCCGUGGAUCCAACUUUGAUUCAAUCACAUGAUAAUAUGCAAUAGAACCAAAAACAUGCAAAGAAUCAUAAUUAGUUGCAGGUUUUCCAAACCAUACCUCUAGCGAGGUUUUGCCAUCUAUAGCAGAAGAUGGCAAACGAUUGAUGAGAUGUUGAGCGUAUGUCACAGCCUCAACCCAAAACUCUUUGUCUAACUCAGCAUUAGACAACAUACAACGAACUUUCUCCACAAGUGUCUUGUUCAUACGCUCCGACACCCCAUUAUGUUGUGGUGUUUUUCUAACAGUGAAGUGUCGAACUAUGCCACAAUCUUGACAUACCUUCAAGAACGGAUCACUCUUGUAUUCUCCUCCAUUGUCUGUUCGGAGAACCUUAAUCUUCCUUCCUGUCUGGUUUUCAACUUGAGCUUUCCACUUAAGGAAAAUUUCAAGCACAUCAUUUUUGUUCUUCAUAGUAAACACCCAAACUCUCAUGGAAAAAUCAUCCACAAAAGUGACNNNNNNNNNNNNNNNNNNNNNNNNNNNNNNNNNNNNNNNNNNNNNNNNNNNNNNNNNNNNNNNNNNNNNNNNNNNNNNNNNNNNNNNNNNNNNNNNNNNNNNNNNNNNNNNNNNNNNNNNNNNNNNNNNNNNNNNNNNNNNNNNNNNNNNNNNNNNNNNNNNNNNNNNNNNNNNNNNNNNNNNNNNNNNNNNNNNNNNNNNNNNNNNNNNNNNNNNNNNNNNNNNNNNNNNNNNNNNNNNNNNNNNNNNNNNNNNNNNNNNNNNNNNNNNNNNNNNNNNNNNNNNNNNNNNNNNNNNNNNNNNNNNNNNNNNNNNNNNNNNNNNNNNNNNNNNNNNNNNNNNNNNNNNNNNNNNNNNNNNNNNNNNNNNNNNNNNNNNNNNNNNNNNNNNNNNNNNNNNNNNNNNNNNNNNNNNNNNNNNNNNNNNNNNNNNNNNNNNNNNNNNNNNNNNNNNNNNNNNNNNNNNNNNNNNNNNNNNNNNNNNNNNNNNNNNNNNNNNNNNNNNNNNNNNNNNNNNNNNNNNNNNNNNNNNNNNNNNNNNNNNNNNNNNNNNNNNNNNNNNNNNNNNNNCAUCGAGUUCUUGAAAUUCAAAGAACCAUUCCUGAAUGGGACACAUAUGAUAGGUACAACCUGAAUCCAAUAUCCACUCAUCUGGAUACGAUGAUGCUGAAAGCGAGACAAUUAAAGAGAUAUCUGAUUCCACACCAUUUUUGCAUUCUGCAACAUUUGCAUCUUGUGGAGCCUUCCCUUUCUUCUGCAGUUUUGGAUAGUCUUUCUUCCAAUGUCCUUUCUCAUGACAGAAAGCACACUCAUCUUUGGCAACGGCUCGACCUUUAGACUUAGACCUCCCUCUUCUCCCCUUUGUUUGGCUUUGCUGACGACCUCUUGCCACCAAUGCUUCUUCUGAUGUCGUUGAUUUGGUUUUCAUCUUAUCCUGCUUUCUCAAUUCAUGACUAUAUAAAGAAGAACAAACAACAUCUAACGACACAUUCUCCUUCCCGUGAAGGAGUGUAGUCUCAAAAUGUUCAAAUUCAUCAGGAAGAUAUGAUAACAACAUCAAAGUCAAAUCUUCAUCGUCAAACUUCACAUCUAAAUUCAACAGGUCUGCUACUAAUUGAUUAAACAUAGUGAUGUGCAUUCAUAGUAGUACCUUGUUGGUAGUCAAAUUGGAACAACCUUUUCUUCAUCAGGAGCUUGUUUUGACCACUCUUCUUCAGAAACUUGUUCCUUCCACAGUUUGUGUGCAGAAGUCUCGUUUUUUACAGCAUACUUCUGCUCUUUGGACAGGUAGGAUCGAAUAGUUCUGCAUGCCAACUGGUUGAUGAUGCUCUAGUCUUUCUCCUCUACCUCUUCUGGUUUCUCUCAUUCAAUAACAAUAUCAUUUCCCUGUUGAAAAAGAGAGUCCAAGACCUCUCCUUGCCACAUGCCAAAAUGUCCAGUGCCAUCAAAUAUUUCCACCGCCAAUUUCAAAGUGGACACCGGGAACCUCGACCAUGAUGACGAGGAGCCCGACACUCUGGAUACACCAUUCACUUCUUCUUCUUGAUUUGCCAUUACAAACUCAAAAUAUAAUAUUCAAUAUUACAAAUAAUUUCAAACAACCCAAGGCGAACCUUCGGCUCUUGAUACCACUUGUUGGGAAAAACGGGUAAUUUUCCCACUAAAACAAAACCCUAACAGAGCUACCCGACAAAUAAUAUUGAAUGAAUAAAGCGGAAUAAUAAAAGAGAUAAAGAGGAAAAAACACACCCAGAAAUUGUUAACGGAGUUCGGCCUGUUUAGCCUAAUCUCCGAGCACAACUGAAAUAACCCGCUUUUAUUAUUAUGGGAGAAGAUAUUACAAAUUGGGAUAUCUAACAGAAGGAGGAGAGUUUAAUUUAUAACCCUCAAAACUCCUUCCCAAAAUAUGAACCCACCGAUGUGGAACUUGUGAUUAAGCCAAAAUCAACAAAUACAACAGAAUACGAUUACUUUAAUCCUUAAAAAAAAUCACAUUCUCAUAAAAAGAUAAAAUAUUCUAACAAUUAAACAAAAUAUCAUUUUUAUUAUAUCACUCAUACUUUAAAAAUGGUUUCCUAAGUAAUUUAUAGGUCUUACAUUAAGGAAUUUAUAAUUACUUACACGUUAAUGAGUCAAUAAUUAAGUUAAACUUAUGUAAUGUCUAGGUGUUUGAUUUAAUUUAUUCUAUUAAUAUUUUUGUAUUUUUUUUUCUUUUGAUCCUAAUUUGAAAGUCGUAGAAAAACAAUACAUACAAUAUUUUCAUAUUUUUACUUAUGAAUUAUAAAUAAAAGAAACAUACUUUUUUUAUUCUGAUGUUUUCUUUACAGAACUUUUUAGACCAAUUAAGAAAAGAGUGUGUAUGUGAAAAGAUGAUUUAUGAAUUUUGAUAGACACUUGAUGGUUAUGUGAAAUGUUUGAGAAAUUGUAUGAGAGUUUAUGAAUUUUGUGUAUCAAUUUGAAAUUUAAAUUAUAUAGACCAUUUUGUUAUAACUAGCUUACCCUGUUAUUUGUUUGUGUUUGUUUCUUUAUCUGUGAUGAUCGUGUUGUACACGGGAGCAUAUGAGAUUGCAAGUAAUAGAGCUCCUAAAUGAACAGCCGGAGGAUGUGAUAGUUUUAAUUUGAAUGCUCUCUUUGUUUUUAUAAAUUUUUUUAUGUAUAUAUUAAAAUCCCUACGAAAAGAGAUAAUUUUUUUAGAUACAAUUAUGAGAUAUUUAUAUAUAUUCAUAUGUUAAGUAGAUAGUGUUUGUUUUACUUUUAUUUUAUUAUAUAUGAAUAAAAAUUAUGAAUGUUACAUCUAACAUAUGAUUUACCGAAAUAAACUGAAGUUAAUUAAAUUAAAUUAGUUUCCCGUAUAUUUUGCUUUUCAAGCAAAAUACUAAGAAGAAAAUGAUGUCUUAACUUAUUUUCUGAAAACCUAAUUCAAAAAUUAAACACAUAAACCUAAACUAAGAGAUAUUCAUAUUUUCUGAUCGGAUUAUAGUUUCGAUAGAAAAAUCCAAUAUAUGCUAACAAAACAAAACACAAGGAGUUUGAGAUCUAAAAAAACCUUAUACUCAAAUCAAAAUUGGAUGAGUUCAAAUUCAUUAAAACUUUAUUAUCUUCUUCGUCUCGCACUUUAAAAGAAGAAUAAAAAAAGAAAAAUCACCUAUAAAAUAUAUAUAUAUAUAUAUAUAUAUAUAUAAUUCGAGUCUAAUCAACUAUGAUAUUAUUUGAGGGAGUAAUAAGAAUAAAAAAAAUAACAAUUAAACAACGAUGACAAUGCAUCCACGUUGAGACAAAGGUGUCAUAGCCACCACCACAGUACAGAGAUAUAGCAAGUUGAGACAAAGGUACUGAUAGAAUUUAGGUGAGAGAUGUCUUUUCAUUUGAGGAAGACAACACCAGGAACAUGUUUUUCCCUUAACACAGAAAUUCACAUUUAGUUUGAAUUUUAGUUGUUAUCAAAAGAUAUUUACAAAGGAUUAUUCAACACUUAAAUAAAAAUUCAAUAUUUAAAUAUAAUAAUAAUGUAAAAAUGUCUAUUUAUAAUACAUGAUUAAUCAUUUCAUUUCAAAUUUUGAUUAAAACAUGUAUCAUAAUAUAUUAUUUAAUUUCUAUAUGAUUUAAGUAUCAUUAAUAUACAUUUUAACUAAUAUAUAUCUUUAAUACGUCAUUAAAUUAUAGUGUGGAAAUGGGUUUAUUCGAAUGUGAUAUGGUAGAAGAGAAAAGAAGUUUUCAUCUAUCAAACUUUUCUGAUUCCACGAGAACAACCUUCUCAGCUGCUGCUUGGGUAAAGGGGCAACGUGCUUUUCUACAAUUACUUUAAGCUAUUUACAAUUCAAUAUAUAAUCUAACCAAUUUUUAAGAAAAUGGGGGCAAUAUUCUUACUUUUUAUAAAACAUUAUGAUAUUUUUUAAAAGUAUUUCGAAUACGAAGAAAUCAUAUUAAUAUAUACGAUUGAUAUAGUACUUUUUUAUUCAAAGUGAUUUGUGGGAUUUGAAUCAUCAGAAUUAAAUAUGAUUAGAAAAUGAAAAGAAAAGAUUCAAAUUAAAAGGAACCAGAUACUGAUUUAUAAUAUAUAACACUCUAAAACUAAAAAUCACUUUUUCUAGUCUAGUUGUAUAUUAUGGUAAGGAAACAUCUCUCUUUCCUAUAACACAAUUGAAAAAAUUUCAUAGCAUUUCAUUAAAUGUUAUAAAAAGUAGUACCUAAAUUGUAUAAGAGAAGAACACACACAACACUGAAUUAAAAAUUUGUGACUCUUGAAAGAAACCAUUUCCACGUAUGCAAAAACAACGAAUGAAGUGUGUAAUAGUUUUUCUUACUUUUCUAGUCAAAGUAGCAUAGUUUAAAUCUUUUUUGUAAAUGUGAUGAGACAUGCAAAGUGGUACUUAAAAGGCUAAACCUAAGUUUAAUUAGAAAUUUCCAUUUCUAAUUAAACUUAGGACCGGCCCAAUUUGACCCUAGAUGAGCGUAAGUUCUAGAUGAAUUAGCACAUGGAAGCAUUCUAGAAUCUUACCUCACAUGGGCUGAAAAUAGGCGCCACUUUUCACAUGUGCCAACACUUUGAAUUUGGCUCUCAUUUCAUUUGUAUUUGGCUCUUCAAAUUCCAGCCCUCCAAGCCUAUAUAAGGAGGUGCUUGGUUCAUGUUUUCACAAGAUUAUUUUGAGUAAUGAAAUGUUGCCAAAUUGUGUUAUUCUUACUCCCUUGCCUACAAUCUCUUAGAAUUUAGGUCUUAAUCUUCCAAAACUGCACCUCAAAGAGAGUUGGCCGAACCUCUCUCACUUUCACACUCUUCAUGCACCUCUAAGGCUUACACAACUCCUAGGAGAGCCUUAUUUCACCUCAAUCCAUGAAUGCUUCCGCCAAAACCACCACAAAAACCGCAAGAUGAAGAGCUCAAAGCCAUCAUUUGGUAUCUAGAGCUAUGGUCUUCAAGAGAUAAGUGUCUCUUUUCAUUUUUCUGUUUGAGUUCUUCUUAUUUUCAUGUUGUUCAUCUCUUGUUCAUGUUGUCUUGCUGUUUUUACAUUUUUAAUUUGAUUUAGAUGUUGUUCUAAGCAUUUCAAUCGGUAGAAAUUGUUCAAAUUGUUCUUGAGCACCUUAUUUUCAAUUUUUGUGUAGGAAUCUAUGGUGAAUUGUGUUGCUGUUUUGAUUUUAGGUUACUUGAGUCUUGUUUGAAUUUUUGUUCGGUGCAUUAUGAUGUUCUUGAGUCAUUUUAUUUUCUGAAUCUAUAUGUUUUGCCUAGUCAUGUAAUUCCUAGAAUGUCAACAAACCUUAGUAGUACUUUUCUUGAUUCAUUUGUUUCUUGUUUUGAUUUGAGUGUUUAAUUUGAAUUCUGACUUGAUUUGUUCCUUUGGUGCAUUUUUCCUUUUAGUUUGAGUUCAUAUUGUAUGAUAGAUCCAUACAAAUUCAUAUAACUUUCACUCCAUUGUGUUUUUGAAGUUUCUCUUUCUAUUUUUAAUUCCAGAAAUAGGAUUCCUCUGUUUUUACAAAUACUAUACUGGCUAUUUUGUGUUAUGAAAAUUAAAUACGUUAAAAGAAAAUUCUGAGAUUCUAGAUUUCAGUGGUUUGAUGUGUUAGAAAAAGAAGAAAAAAAGAAUCAGUCGAAAAGACAAAAUAGAAAAAAAAAAGAUAAAUCACACAAAAAAAUGUUCAUUCUGGCGCUAAAAUUGACUGUAAUUGGACAGUGAUUUUGAAAAAUUUAUCACAAUUAAUUGGUGCAUGUUUUUGGUGUGAUUCCAGCGCCAAAAGUUUGCUAAGAGAUUGAAUCGUUUUUGGUUAAAUUUUCAGAAGCAAAUUCAAAAUAGCCAACUCAACAUAAAUAUUUUAAGUCAUGCUUUAUGAACCUUAAUUUUCCAGUAGUGUUGUUUUGGUUUUUCAAAUCAAUUCUAGUGCCCAUCUUUAGGUUCCUUUUGUGUGUCAACCUUUGUUAAGUGCCUAUUUUUUUUAUUUGCUUGUCCAAUAUCAUUAUGAACUCCUUCUAAGUUGUGUCAUAUCAUUAAUUCCUGUUUUUGUGGUACUUUUCAAAUUUAAUUUGUUUCUUGCUUUAUUUUCUUGACCUCUAAAAUUGUUGGUGGAAGAAUUUCAAUUGGUGCUUGCUAAGUGGAAAUUGACUUUGUGGUAAGUCUAGCUCUACUUAGUAGGUACUGUUUUGAAGAAUUUAAUUGCUUAAAUCAUAAGAGGUUAAGGCAAGGAGCAACAACAUACACAAAUACCAAAAACCAUACACUUUGAAGAGCACAACAAAGAAGAGCAAGAACAAGCCAAAGGAGUGCAUAGCUUAGAAAGCUGAAAUUAAAUUUGUGCAAUUCAAUUCCUUUUCAUUUCUUAAGUUGUAAUUACAUUUCACUUUUGCUAAUUAGUGGUUAGACGGUGAGUGUGUCUUCAAAUGCUCAAAGUGUCUAAGAAGCCUCACUUAGGAAGCGACUAGUUUAAAGCUUUGUAGAUUAACAAUUUCUAAUUGUGUUAGCUAGAUUGUUUUACGUUAAUCCUUGUUUAGCUUUGCUUAAAAUUGCUUACGUUUAUCUUUUGUUUAAGCUUUGAUUAAUUGCUUUAUUUGUUAAAUAGCUUUGCAUUGUUUUUCCUUGCAUAAAAUUUGAUUUUUCAUUCCUCAUUAUGUUCUAAGUAAUUUACUUAGAAAAAGAAUUGUGUGAAGUUUUUUAGGGAUAGUUUUUGACUAAGGCAAGACUUGGUACUUAAGAAGUCCUUAGUGACUCACCUCUCUUACCUGGAAAGCUACCUUCACUAACUUUCCUCUUCUUUCUUGAAGUAAAACACUUUUAAACACAAAGUUUUAGUCAUGUCUUCUCACUCCUCUAAAUCUAAUGAAAGUGAUAUGAAGUCCAUUAAAUCUCUUUUAAAACAACUUGCCAAGGACUUUCAAUUACUUUCAUAUAGACAAUUGGAGAAUGAUGCCAAAAUUAAUUAAUUGACUAAAGCAAAGGAUGAGAAUUCUCAAAAAUAAAAAUAAAAAAUACAUUCUCAUGCAUCUAGUUCCAAAGAUCAUGAUUCUCUUGGGGAGGGAAACCUUAGGAUUAAUGAGUUAUCAACCACCUCCUAGGAGAAAUAGAAGAAGAGAACAAGAUAGCCCAAGAGAGGUUAGGGUAGACCUACUCCAUUUUCAUGGAAAAGAAGAUGUAGAAGUAUACCUAGAUUGGGAAGAUCUUUCUCCAGCUCCACUUUGGCAGAGAAGCACAAGGAAGAGGUCUAGGGAGAGUAACUUGAAGGAAGCCAUGAUCAUGCAUUCAUGCAUUAACCAUCACUCUCUUCUCUAUUUAUACAACAACAAAUUCAAAAUCUUUCCAACUUUUUUCUUUCAUUUUAUUAUUCAACACCAAAUUAACAAUUAUUAAACAACGAUGCCAAUGCAUCCACGUCAUCAAAAAAGUAUAUGAAAUAAUUAGUUUAAAUUUAAAUACAUAUUUAUGGAGAGAAGCGGUUUGGCAGGUAGCAAUGGGAAGUGAGAGGAGGUGCUGAGGUGGCCGUGUGCAUGGCCAGUAGUGUCAUAAUGAGAAGAGGUGGGAGCUGAGGUGGCAGCAUGCAUGGCCCAGUGAUGUCAUGUGGGGAAUCAAAAAUUCUAAUUUCAUUUUCCCUUUUUUAUUUAAUGGUAUAUAUUAUAAAAUUUUAUAUUCACCGUAUUAUUCUUAUUUUUUUACUUUGUUGUAAACUACGAUGACUAUAUUAUACUACGUACAUGAGUAAAUGAUCACACAGGUAUGAGAGGAUCUUGAGAAUUUUAAAAUGUUUUCUUAAAAUUAAUAUUUUUUAAAUAUUUGUAUUUCUGUAAGUUUUAAUUAUGUAUUAGGAAUAUUUUUAAAAAUUUUAAGUUUUUACAAAAAUAUGUAUAACAUGUAUUAUUAUAAUUAGAUUUAUUUUUGUGUGUUAUAUUUAAUGUUAUCAAAGCAUUUCAUCUUUAUGAUAAUCUGACGGUAGUGAGUUUAUUGUGUUCUUCGUGUGUCUAAAUUUUUUGUUUAAUUCUAACUUCAAGACCUUGUUAAAAGUUUCUAAUAAUAUGUUUAAUAAAAUUGUUUUCUUGAAAUCUUGUUUGAGUGGUGAGGAUACACACUAAUGACUAUAGAAAACCUAAUUAGAAUUAUUAUAUUAAAAGUUUAAGUCUCUUAUAUUAUUAUUACAAUUACAACUAAAACUUAAUUAAUUCCGAAAAGAUCAGAAACAAGAAACAAAGAGAUAAGGACAUUUUUUUUAAUCUUUUUUCUUCCUUACCUUCCUUAAUCUCAAAUGAAACAUAAAUUUGUUUUGUUAACUGUUGUCCUCUUUUUCUGGUGAUGAGGAAAUAACACAUUUUCUAUUGAAGGAUCCUAAUUUCUCUUACAAUGAAUUUCUUUAUUUAAUAAGAAAAAAAUAUGAAAAGGUUUUUUUCUGUGUGUUUAUCAGGGACAUUGAAGCAUUUACUGGUAUAAAUUUGCAUCUUUUUAAAAUUGUUGAUUAUAUUAAUGGUGCCAUGAAUGAAAUUCACUUUGAGGGAUAUCAUGAGAGAUGAAGUGUAAAUCUGAAUAAUAGUCUAAAGUUGUGUUUUAUUAGUCAAGGAGACAAGCUGAAUUAAUUUAACUGAACCAUAAAAAUAAGUCAAUAUGAUUAGGACUAAUCAAAAUUUCAAUUCAAUGCUUUGAUAAAACGAAUAUCAAAGUUCAUUUAUGUUAUGAUUGAAUUUAAUUAUGACUUUGAACAAAAAUAAAAGUUUGUAUACAAGGUAUUGGUUUGAAUGAUGAAUUUGAAAGAGAAUUUAUUCACAAUUCAACAAAUCAAAGUGGAGUUUCAAAAGAAAGUUAAUUGGAAAAAAAGUUUAAAGUGAAGAAGUGUGAUUGAACGUAACAAGUAAAACUCUAUGAAUGUAAAACGAUCAAAAGUGAAUGCUUAAAGUAAAAGAAAGGAUUCAAAUCGAUAAAAGAAAUAUUGUAAACGUUCGAUGUUGUAAGCAACUGCUUUUUGAAAAGCAAUUCCAAAUUGGAAAAGAUUUAUUUUACAUCAUAAAGUAAAAACAUAACACUAAAUUAUAAUAUUUAAAAUUAAAAAAUAAAUUAAAUAUGAUUAAAAUAUUAUUUUAUUAGUUUGUGAAGUAUAUGUUUUUUUUACUAUUUGUGGUAUUAACAUAUCACCGCCCUUUUAAAUUCAAAAAUAGAAAAAUCAUUUAAAAGUUUCCAUCAUUUUAAAUAAAAUAAAAUAAGAUUCACUAAAAAAAAACCUGAGAAAAGAAAGGUAGUAUAACCAUAUUUGUAUUACAACUAAUUUUGUUGUUCUGCUAGAUGAACGAAAUAAAUUACCCAGUUGAUGAUUAAGGAAAAAAAUUUAUGAUCAAUUUAAGAUAUUAUUCAUUUUCAUUUUGAAGUUUUUAAAUUUCAUUACAACUUUAUCUUAAAAAACAUAUCGAUAAAUUAAAGAAAGAAUAUUUAAAAUGAAUUUCAACUAGACUUCUAAACAAUGAACUUUUUUAUAAAAAUAUACAAAACCAAAGUCUAAAACAAUGAUGAUCCAUAAAGGCAUACAUUUUAUGAAAAUAAUAUAAAUUUAAAUAUUAAAUUAUGAAUUUUAUGAUGUCGUCCUGCAAAACAUUGUAGCUUUAUAAAUAUUAGUAAACUGUAUAAUAUUAUUACACUGUAUUAAAGUCUUCAAAGUAUAUAAUUAAAUAAAUACUUCUAAAAUGAAAGUCCAUUUACUUUAAAUCAUACCAAUAAACACACAUAAAAACAUGCAAAUAUACUAAUAAAAAUUAUCUUCAUGCAAAUAACAAGAUUAUGUAUAUAAAUGUAAAUUAACUUAUUUAGUCACACAAUUAUGUCAUGACUAAAUGAAAAGUCAUUUGGAAGACUCUAAAAUAUAAUAAACAAAUCUUACUAGAAACUAAUAUUUGGCAUACAUUAGAAUAAGGUUAAAGUUUUUAAUGUUAGAGUGACAUAAAACAUCUACUAUCAAACUAUAUAUGUAUAUCUACUAUGAAGUUUGAUUUAAAUCUCAUUUAAAUUUUCACAAUCUGUCUAUGUGAUUGAAUAACAAUAAAGUCAUGAUACUUCUUGUUUAUGACCAUCACCCAAGGUAUGAUACCACCCUGAGUAUCCCUACACCGCCCUUUAAGGGUCAUGCACCAACCUAGGAAGUGUCACCAUAUCUAGAGUCAAAUUUUAUAUACAUAUAUACCACUUUAUAUACAUACAAACACAAACAAACAAACAAACACGAAGGAUCAAUAAAAAAUGGUAUACAUCAUACAUACAUUAUAUCAUUCAUCUCGACACCAAUUAUAUAUUUAUCCAGAGCAUAUAAAAUCAAUCUCACAUUUUAUACAUUAUACAUACCAUGUAUAAAGACAUAUAACAUAUAUAAAAUAUUCAAUCAUGACAUAACAUCAUCACCAUCACAGUAAACUGUCACUUGAGCGAAAUGCAACAAAAAUGCAACACCCUCUCAGGGCUAUUCUCGCUUGAGGGACCACCUCAUCGCUCAAGCAUUAGUCACACUUGAGUAACAUCCACUAUUAAGUUUUAGAGAAUCCUUCCACUGCUUUUGGUAGCUUGAGCACCCAAGAGCUUGAGUGCUCAAACUAGCAUUGGAGCACCCAACGAUCGUGCUAAGCACUAAUAUGUCCAUGACACGAAUGCACCACCUCAGCCAUGGUUAAGUAUCCACCACAAUCCUCAAGCCAAAAAAGCUUAAGUUCCUUCUCCAACACUUGAGUGACUGAUAGUUGUCAUUUUGUUGCCAAAUUAAAAUGGUUCCAGUGUAGACUUGUUUAACGCUAAAGAAAUGAAAUGAUAGUAUACAAGUGGUCAGAUGAUCUCAAAUAAUAAAAUCAGUAAAUAAAUGUUUAGAAUCUAUAUGUAAGUAAUAAAAUUUAGCACUAACAAUAUAAAGAUAAAAAAGGGGUCGAGAUAGUUGUGCAAAAAAUAUAAAAGAGAUUAAAAUAACAAUUAAAACGCGGUUGAUCCUCAAGUUCUUCCACCAUUGAAUUCUUCAUAGGUUCUCUAAAGAUUAAUCAUUUUUCAAUCCUCCAACAGAGCUAAACCAAAUUGAACAUGCGCCAGUCUAAUUCAACUGAAACUCACCAGUAAAACAUGCGUCUACUGAUUUAAUCAAUACUCACUUUGUUCCAUGCGUAUACUCUAUGAGAAUGUUUAUCUCAUCUUUCUUGAAUCAUGUGUCCAAGAAAUUAAUUAGAACAAUGUGAACUAACUAAGAAACUAAAAUUUAAGAUAAGGAAGACUCUCAAUAACGCGUUCAAGUACAACCUCUCAUAAAAAUCAGUUUUCCAAGAUAUUAGAAUAUUAAAACAAUUGCUAUAAAGAAUUAAAAAUCGAAACUUUUAUUGAAAAAAACCUCAAAACUCAAUGGGAAAUUAUAAAAGAAUCAACCAAAAAAGUUUAGCCUCCCAUGUGGAGGCAAAACAAAAUAAUUACAAGAAAAAAGAAACUAAGAAAAUGCUAUGAAACUCCCCCCUUUCUCCUUGAUGCUUGUCUCCUUUUAUAGGGCUUUAUGCUCCAAGGAUCUUGGAAAAAUAUUGUAGUUUAGAUUUUGUUAACAAUUUCAAAGUUUUUGACUUUCCAAAGUUCUUGUAUUUUUGCAGAAGAUUUGCUUCCAAUUCUGUUUAUGAGAUAUUGUAACUUUUAUUUUCUCUUUAUUCUUCUUAGAAUUUGUUUUCUGUUUUGAUUGAAAAAGUAACUUGAACUUUUGCAUAUUUGGUCCAUUCACUAAGGUAGACUCUUCCUUCAGACCAUUUACUCUAAAAACACAAAAUAAACAAAAAUAAUAGUUAAAGCCCAAAUAAACUUAAUUAUAUGAAUAUUAAUUAAAACAAUUGAUUUAUUUAUUAUUAUAGUCCAAUAAUCCAUGAUUAAAGUUAUUGAGUGUGAAUAAAUAUAUGUUCAUCAGUGAUAUACUUUUAGAGAAGAGAAUUGACUCAACAUCUAUGUCACUUGAACAACAAGCCACAACUUGAACUAUAUAAUAUGUCACUUGGAUAACCAACACAUUUCCUAAGUGAUAUAAGACAAUAAGUGUAAUGAUUACAUAACUUAGGUCUCUCUUGAGUGUCAAGUGAUCGUAAAGCAACCCCAAAGGGCUCAAACAAAGGAUUUCUCAAAGAUUUCCAAAUUGUAUGUGGAUUCUUACUUUCCCAUGUUCAUCAAAGAGUUAUUUUAAGACUUAUAUCCAACAAUGUAUCAUCACAACAACUCUUCUAACAUGCAUAUAUUUUACAUACUAUCAACCCCCAUAUAUUACAUACAACUAACAACUAUCAUAUUGUAAAAAAAUGACAUAGUAACUCCCCUUGUCUAGAUUGAAGUAUGCUCUCAUAAUAACCAAUACUUGAUAAAUUUUUCUAAGACUCUAAUGAAUCUAGAGAAGUUCUCAAAACAUCAUUUAUAUGAGCAAACAUUUCCUCUAAAUCAUUCAUACAAGUAAAGAAGAAGAGAAGACAAAAAGAUAAGAAAACUCAUAUAUGAUUGAGGUUACUUACCAAAACUAACUUCUCAUCAAUCCAAAACAAUUAAUACCUUACUAACUCCACAAACCUCAAUCUAGUAAAGAAUCUAUAAUUAAAAACUCAAUCUACUGGUUUAAUUAGUACCCACUUUGUUCCAUGCGUAUACUUCAUGGGAAUGCUUACCUCCCCUCUCUUGAAUCAUGUGCCCAAAAAAUUAAUUAGAACAAUGCAAACUAACUAAGAAAUCAAAGUUUAAGAUAAGGAAGAUUCUCAAUCAUGCGUUCAAGUACAACCUCUCAAAAAAUUAGUUUUCCAGGAGAUUAGACUAUUAAAACAACUGGUAUAGAGGAUUAAAAAUCGAAACUUUUAUUGAACAAAACCUCAUAACUCAAUGGGGAAUUCCAAAAGAAUCAACCAAAAAGGUUUAGCCUUCCAUGCGGAGGCAAAACAAAAGAAUUACAAAGAAGAAAAAGAAACUAAGAAAAUCCUAUGAAGCUCUCUCUUUUCUCCUUGUGUCCUUUUAUAGGCUUUUCUGUUCCAAGGAUCUUGGGAAAAUAUUAUAGUUUAUAUUUUGUUAACAAUUUCCAAGUUUCCAGAUUUCUUAUAUUUUGCAGAAAAUUUGCUUCCAAUUCUGUUUCUAAGAUAUUGUAGAUUUUAUUUUCUCUUUCUUCUCGGAAUUUGUUUCUUGUUUUGGUUCAAUAAAAAAUUUGGACUUUUAUAUAUUUGACCCAUUCACAAAGGUAGAUGCUUCUUCCGGAUAAUUUACUCUAAAAACACAAAAUUACCAAUAAUAAUAGUUAAGACCCAAAUAAACCCAAUUAUAAACUAUGAAUUUAUUUAUUAUUAUAGUCCAAUAAUCCAUAAUUAAAGUUAUUGAGUGUGAAUAAAUAUAUGCUCAUGAGUAAUACAUUUUUAUCUAUGUAUAUAAUUUGAUCAUCUAAAUAUAUGUAUCUUGGUUGGCUGGGUUUUAAUUGUACAAGUCAAUUUAGAUGGGAUUAUCAUUAAACAGAAUGAACUAAAAAAAAUUCUCAUUUAAAAUGGCGGCUUUUACCAUAACUGUAGUUUUAUAUCUUUCAAGAGGGUAUAAAAUGACGACUUUUUACCAUAAUUGCCGUUUUAUAUCUUUCAAAAAGAUCUAAAACGACGACUUUUACCAUAACCGCGGUUUUAGACUGAAUAUAACACAACGAUUAUAUAGCCGUUGUCUUUGCUUAAAGAUAAUAGACUACAUGUUGAAAGACAACGAUAGAAGAACCGUUAUUUUAAUACUAAAAUGACCGUCGUGAUUUAACUUUUUUGUAUCAGUAAUUAUAAAGUUUUUUUUAGAGUGGUGGUGAUAAACAUAUAUCGAUUUGAAAUUAAUAGAGUUAGAAAGCAAGAAAAAAAAAUACAUGAAAAAUGUUAAAUAAUGUCAUAGAAAUAGAAAUGGAAGAGAAGUGUAAAGAAAUUUAAAUAAAAAUUAGAUGUGAGAGUAAGUUAGUUUAUAUUUCCUAAGGUUUAAUGUAAUUACACCAAUGUUACCUUUUUUUUUCUAUGUUAUACUUUAACUUAUAAUAAUCCUUUCCAUUAUUAUAAACUUUUUAAAAAUUACAUAUUUUUCAAAUUAUGCACUAAUAAGACGCAUGGUGAAUAAUAAGCAGUGUAGAUUGUGUAAAUAUAUGAGCUUCCAUUUUAUUUAUUUUAGUUUGUGUGACAGAUGAACAUUAUUAGCAGGAAAAAGAAGAAUGAGACUGUCACAGUGAAGGUGGUUUUUGGAGUCUAGAGGAUCUUGUUGAGGACGAUGUUGGAACGUUCAGAUUUUUGGUCCUUAAGAUUGAUGAACUUGGAAGAAAAAGACCAAGAGAGGACGUCGUGCGUUUCAUAGCUCCAUUGAUAAGCCCCUGAGGUGGCAGAGAACCCAACGCUCACCCAGUCGUAAACUUCUUUCUCCAGCUCCACUGUGGUAGAGACGUUGUUGCUCUUUCCCGUAGAAGGGUUUGACAGAGAAACCGAGAAGACCUUCGUGGAGGAGUUAUAGGUGAUCCGAACCUCGGCGUUUUGUCCGUCGUAGUCGUGUACAUCCCAAGGCACGCUUUUGAUAUCGUUGUUGUUCACGUCGAUGCUAAUACGGCUGAGGAAGGUGUCGAACUCCACAGUCACAGUAUCGCCUUUGGAUUCGGGCUGGACGGGGACGAGAACAAAGUCAAGGCCAACGGCGGAAUUUGCUUGGCGGUGAGUGCGGAUAUUCAUUGUGAAGUUGGUGUCGAAGCUGGCGACGUUGCCGGUGGUGCUGUCCCUGAUUUGGAUGGGGGCGGAGUAGAAGGCUCUGCUCAUAGAGUCGUAUGAAUUAUAGGAUAGUUGUAAGUUGCCGUUGGAUGAGACGGUGGCAUCGCCUUGAAGGAUAAGGUUGGUUUUGUUGAACGCAUCGAUGAUGAAGGAGGUUUCGGUGGCUGAGUUUGCGUGGCUGAGAAGCGCAAGGAAGAGGGCUAGGGAGAGUAACUUGGAGGAAGCCAUGAUCAUGCAUUCAUGCAUUAACCAUCACUCUCUUCUCUAUUUAUACAACAACAAAUGCAAAAACUCUCUACUUUAUGCAUUUUUUUUUCUUUUAUUAUAUUAUUUGAGGGAGAAAUAAGAAUAUAAAAAAAAAUUAAGCAACGAUGGCAAUGCAUCCACGUCAUCAAAAACAAUGAAAAAAAUAUGAAAUAAUUAAUUUAAAUUUAGAGAGAGAUUUAUGGAGAGAAACACAUAGCAUUGAGAAGUGAAAGGAAGACACAUGUGAAGAGCAAGGAGCUGAGGUGGCUGCAUGCAUGCAUGCAUGGGCAGUGGUGUCUUAGUGGGAAGAGGAGAAAGCUGAGGUGGCAGCGUGCAUGCAUGCAUGGGCAGCGGUGUCAUAGUGUGAAAGCCGCAGUGGAAAGUGAGAGGAAGGUAGGUGUGAAGAGGGAGCUGAGGUGGCAGCGUGCAUGGCGAGUGUCGAAGCCGCCGCCACAGUGCAGAUGGUACAACUUUUGUCCAUCGUCGUCUUUCUCAUCCAAGUUCCUCUUUAUAAUAUCUUUUACCAAAUCAUAUUUUAAAAUAAAUUAUUUUAAAUUCAUUUUAGUUUUAAAUAAAGUAAUAGUAUAUAUAUAACAAUAUAGAAUGGGUAUCAUUUUCUAAUUUUAUAUUUUAUAAUAUUAAAAUAUAAUAAAUUUAAUUAUUAUUUAUUUUGAAUUGAAAAUUUAGAAAAAAUUGAAAUUUAAAAAAAAAUAAAGAACUCAAAUUUAACACUUCUGUAAAUAAUUUUUUUUUAAAAAAACUGUGAAUAUGUUCAAAUAAAUCCAUAAAUAUUAACUUUUAUUUGGUUUUUUAUUUAAAGAAUAAUUUAUUCUUACUAUUAUAUUUAAAAUUAGAGUUUUUAAUCUUUUUAUAUAUAGUAAAAUUUAUAAUAAUAUUUAUAUAUUAUUUCAAUAAAGUUAUAAUAGAGAAUUUUUUUCCGCUUCAAACUCUUGUUGUAAUUGUUUGUAUCAACAUGGCGUUCCUUGCUCUCCCGACUAUUCUCCUCUUCUAUUCAUCUAAGGAGUUCAUUCCAUUGAGGGGGUUGUGUCAAGGAGAUCCGUUAACACCAUUUUUGUUUCUAAUUGCGGUUGAAGGUCUAGCAUGUGUGUAUACGAGAAAUUUUUUACUAAUAGUUUAUUCCAACCCCUUGUCUAGUUGCACGAACACGACCACAAUGCUUAGGUCGUCCAAUUGCUUCAACCAAGACGACCUUAAGGAACAAAAUUACCUUGGGAUUCCAAGGAAUCCUACAAGAGACAAAAAUCAUAGCAGUUUUUAAUAUAGUGAAUGCUUUAAAAUAAAUGAAAAAAGGCUAAAAAAUAACUUGCAAUUUUUUCGAUGAUAACCCCUGAUUGCUCAAAACUUGGUGCACCCGACUUUCGAAGUCGAAAAUUGCAUUGACUCGGCUUCAAGAGUAAAAUCAGAAUUUUGAACUAUACUCUUUUCAUCCAUAGACUUCGAGUAAAAUAUACAAUUAUUCCCUUCGUAUGCUUUACAAGAAAUAACAUCAAGCUUCAAUCCAGUCAACUAGGUCAAGGUCUUUGAUGUUGUUGAAUACUUUAACACCUCGUCUUUAAACCAAGGCAUGAAAGUUCUAUUAUGUUCCAUCAAGACCCAUUUCUCUUCUUGUCUUAGGUUAUUUGCCUUCACAAUGACUUUAUGAGCUUCUAUGUAAGAUAUAACUUCAUUUGUGUUAUUCAAUAUAUACAAAUGUGUUUGCAAAACUUCUGAUCGAAAUUUGCUUACAAUAUUCACAUCACGUAAACAUUUACUUGUAGAACAUCCAUGGUGCCAUCACGUUUUGUAGAACGAAGGUGCCAUAAAUUAGCUGAAAGACCUAUUAAAUGAACUCCCAUUUUAUUUAUUAUAGUUUGUGUGACAGAUGAACAUUAUUAGCAGCAAAGAAGAGUGACUAUAAGUAGCGUUACUAUGAAAUUAUUUGGGAACAUUGUUUGGCCUAAAAAAAAAUGUUAAAGCAAAGUACAUAGUCGUAAAAUCAGAAUCAUGUGAUCAACGCAUCAGAUACUUGGAAGAAAUCUUUGAAUAUCUUAGGUGAAUGAACAUGCCGCUUAACCCAAAAAGUGUGCGCGUUCAGAUAUACAAGUUAUUGAGAUUUAUACUAACCCAUCGAAAUAUCCAGACAAAUGUGGGGCGAUGGCGAUAACAACAUGAUAAAAAAUACAAAAAGAGUAUAAUAGAGUAAACUCCAUGAUGGUAUUAUUUUGGAAAACUUUUCUUUAACAGUCCAAAGUUUGGAGUAAAAAACAAACAUUUGACAGCUCCUUUUAAUAAUAUAAUAAUAUAUGAACUUCCAUUUUAUUUAUUUUAUUUAAAAAUGAUUUUUUAACACUCGUAUUUACCUUUAACCCAAUAAAUAUUAAUAUUUUAAUUAUUAUUUUUUAUUAUAUUUUCAUUAAGGAAUUAAGGAAGUAGAGCAAAGAACACUGAGUGUAAGCUAUCAUCACCCUAUUUUAUUUUAUUUUCUGUGACAGACAAAGAGAAACAUUAUUAGCAGGAAAGAACACUGAGUGUAAGCAGUGAUUUAGUGUCACAGGGAAGGUGGAGAUUGAGUCUAGAGGAUUUGGUUGAGGGCGAAGUUGCCAAGAUUCAAAGCUUCAGAUGUGGUGCCAUCGGAGAGCUUGGAAGCAAAAGACCAAGAGAGGAUGUCGUUCGUUUCAACGUUCCCUUUAGUAAUCCCAGUGGUGGCAGUGAACCCAACGAUCACCCACUCGGGAAGAACGCUCUUCAGGUCCACUGUGUCAGAGACGAUGAAGCUUGUUUUCAGAGAAGGGUAAACCAGAGAAGCCACCAAGAGCUUCGUGGAGGAGUCAUAGGUGAUCAGAACCUCCGCGUUUUCUCCUUUGACAAAAUCCCACGUCGUCGUUUUGAUAGACUUGAUGGAGUUCACGUCGAUGCCAAUAUGACGCGGUUUGGGGUCCCAGUGAACGUUGUAGAGGGUGUCGAACUCCACAGCCACAGUAUGGGCAUUGCUGUCGUAUUUGUAGUUGUUGAACAGACCUAGAAGACCGCCUUUGUCUUUGGGCUGAGAGCCCACGGGGAGGAGAACAAAGGCAAGGCCAUCGGCGGGUCCUGAAUUGUUGGGAACGUCGAUAUUGAAUGUGAAGGAGGUGGCGAAGCUGGCCACGGCGCCGGUGGUGUUGUCCCAGAUUUGGAUGGGGGCGGAGUAGAAGGCACGGCCCAGAGAGCUCAACGUGGGUUCUCCGUUGUCAUUAACAUUGGUUAGUCGUAACUGGCCUUUGGAUGAGACGGUGGCAUCGCGUUGGAGGAUAAGGUUGGUUUCGUUGAACCUUUGGAAGCUGAAGGAGGUUUGGCUGGCUGAGUUUGCGUGGGUGAGAAGCACAAGGAAGAGGGCUAGGGAGAGUAAGUUGGAGGAAGCCAUGUAUGCAUUCAUGCAUUAACCAUCACUCUCUUCUCUAUUUAUACAACAACAACUGCACUCUCUCUCUCUACUUUAUGGAUUCUUUUUUCUUUUAUAAUAUUAUUUGAGGGAGUAAUAAGAAUAUAGAAAUAACAAUUAAGCAACGAUGGCAAUGCAUACACGUCAUCAAAUACAUUGAAAAAAUAUGAAAUAAUUAGUUUAAAUUUAAAGAGAUAUUUAUAGAGAGAAGCGGUUGGCACGUAGCAUUGGAAAACACGGGUGAAGAGGAGGGAGCUGAGGUGGCCGCAUGCAUGCAUGCAUGGCCAGUCGUGUCAUAGUGAAAAGAGGAGAAAGCUGAGGUGGCAGCGUGCAUGCAUGCAUGCAUGGCCAGUGGUGUCAUGGUGUCAAAGCUGCAGUGGAAAGUGAGAGGAAGAUACGUGUGAAGAGGAGCGAGCUGAGGUGGCAGCAUGCAUGCUGCAUGCUGACUGUGAAACCCGCCACAGUGCAUAUUGUACUAACAAAGGGGUGUGACUACUUCUGGAUCUAGGCCGAGUCACUUGCGUCCAUUUUCGCCAAGUAUUGUGUGUCGCACACAAUAAUAAGUUGGCAAUUCAUCGACCGAAGGCUGCAGUCUUUUUACGAUGACCUCAUAAUCAAAUCCAUAACAGUCUUGGUCGAACACCCCAGAGGAACAAACAGGCCUAGGCUACCAAUAAUGUGUAAAUGAACUCAAGAAGCGGCUCAGCAGGUUAAAAGGCCGAUGGACUGAAGAAAUGUUAGAAGUCUUGUGGGCAUACCACUGCACCCCCGGACAACCAUGCAAGAAACAUCGUACAACCUGACGUAUGGCACGGAAGCAAUGAUACCGGUCGAGGUAGGUGAGCCUACCAUCCGAUGACAGUUGUUUGACCUGACCCUGAAUGAAGAGAGUCUAUCGGUUAGCCUGGACUUGGUCAGCAAACUUCAUGACAAGAGCAAAAUUCGAGAGGCGGCGUGCAAGCUUCAGGCGGCAACACGCUACAAUACAAAGGUCUGAGAUGUUUUUUCGUAUUACUUAAUUUCUAUCCAUCAUUAUUAUAUAUAAUUUUAUAUAUGGUUAAUGUUUUAAGAAUCUGUAAAAAUAUUUUUUCGUAUUACUUAAUUUCUAUCAAUCAUUAUUAUAUAUAAUUUUAUAUAUGAUAAUAAAAAAAUGUGUCUAAUUUUAUUUAAUAUUUAAUAUUUUAAGAAUCUGUAAAAAUAUUUGUUCUUUAACAUAAUCCAUACACAAUUAUCCAAUUUUUUGUUCUUUAAAACUAACACUCUUAAAAAAUUAUAUAUAAAAUUAAUUUUUAAAAUUACAUAACUUACUACCCAAUAUAUAAACAAUAAAAUUAAAAAAUAAAAAUUAUGACGUGGCAGAAGUCGUGUCAACUUGGCACGACUUUUGUAUGACAAGGCAAAAGUCGUGCCAAGUUGGUACGACUUCAGUAUGACGGGGCAGAAGUCGUGCCAAGUUGGCACGACUUCAGUAUGAUAGGGCAGAAGUCGUGCCAAGUUGGCACGACUUUAGUAUGACAUGGCAUAAGUCGUGCCUAACUGGUACGACUUCUGCAUAUGAAGUCGUCCCAAUUAGGCACGACUUGCCUAAAUUUAUAAUUUUUUUUAAACGGGCACCAUUUUGGUAAAAAAAAAAAAUAACCCCAUCAUGGUCAAUAAACCGUGAAACCUGCCACAGGGCACAACGCCAUUAUGCAGAUAAUGUUAAGAAGUGUACCAAUUAAUCUAUCACACAUUCUUCUCAACAUUGAUUUUUAAACUCGACCAAUACAGAAGAUCAAAGAAGAUUGAUUUUUUCUUCCAAAUAUUUUUCACAAAUGACUUUUUUUUUUUUACUUACUGAAGGUGUGAUCUAUGUUAUUUACCUUUUUUAUAAACCUCAACACCAGUUAAUGCAAUUGGUGGACCACUUGAUGGAGAUGUCCCUUCAUAGUUUUCAGAUUUUGUUGGUGAAUGGCGGAAGCAUCAUGGAUUGAAGACGAAGCAAGGUCCUCCUAAGAGUGGUGGUGACCUUGAAGGUGCAUGAGAGGUAGGGAUUGAGAGUGGUCAGGCCAACUCUACUUGGAAAGGGGAAAUUUGUGAAGAUUAAAAGCCUAACCUAAGAGGUUUAGGGCAAGAAGUGAAAUUGCCACAAUUUGGCAGCAAUUCACUAAGUAUAUUAAUCUUGAAUUUACAUGACCCAAGAACCUCAUUAUAUAGCAAGUGAGGGCUGGAUUUGACAAGAGAAUUGGAGGGAAAUUCAAAUGAAAAAGAAUUUGAAAUUGGCGCCUAUUUUACACUUAGCAUAUGGAGCACAUGAAGCAUAUUUAACAUGUGAUGGAAAACGUUUAGCACAUGUUAAAUAUGGAAUAUGUGGAAAAUGUGCCUUGGUUAAACAUAGCCGACCUUGGUUAAAAUUGGGUGUUUUAGAAAUCAUAAUUUAACCAAGGUUGGUUUUUAGGUGCCAAAUUUCAUUUAAGGAAAAAUUACAAAUAAAAUUUCUAAUCUAAUUUUGACAAGAAAUUAAAGUCUACUCUACACUAGAGUUUAUGGCAUUUGAACAUGUAAAAAAACGUCUUCUUGGAUCCUCUUGGCCAUAACUCUAGGGGUUGGCUUAAAUCUACCCUUUGGUGAGCUUACAUGUGGGCUUGUGCUUAGGCCUCUUCCAUCACCACUAGUCUCUUGGUGUCCAUUAAAGGCUUUUUUGAACCUCCGGUAAAGAUAAUGACUUUUAAGAAACCUCUGAUGCCAAAGAUAUACUGUAUUCCUUCCAUGUUUCAAUUGUUGAGAAGCAGUGUAUUCUUCGCAUAUUGGACAUGCUUUAUGACCCUUAACACUAUAAUAUACAAUCAUUAGGACAUGCAUGUAUCUUUUUAUACUCCAUACCCAUUGAACAAAGAAUCUUUUUGGCAUCAUAAUUACGAUUUGGUAGAGUAUUUCCUUCUGGAAGCAUAUCCUUCAACAACUGAAGCAAUUCUGUGAAGUUUUUAUCAGUCCAUCCAUUUAUUGCCUUCAAAUUCAUCAAUAUUAACAUCGUCGACAAUCGUGUGAAAUUAGUUGCUCCAGGAUACAAUGGAGUCUUUGCAUCGCUUGAAAUACUUCCAUAUUUAUGCACUUCUGCAAAAGACUGAGCUCCCACAUCAUGAAUCAUGUCCUUCAAUCGAUUGUCAUCUACAUCAUCAUGUACUUCAUCAUCCAUGGUGGACCCCACAUAUUCUUUAGUUACGGAAACAUGUGAUAAAUUUAACAAUUCACCAUGUCAUGUCCAAGUUAUAUAAGAUUUAAGAAACUCAUCACAUAGCAGGUGCUCCCUCAUUAUCAUAACAUCCAGUAUUCUUCAAUUUAAACAAUUAACGCACAAACAUCUGAUCUUUGCUCCAUCAUGACCACUAUUAAUCGUGUUAUGUUGUGCAAAUUGUAUAAAUUCUUCUACUCCUCUUUCGUACUCAUCACUUAUGCGAAGAAAAUUUAUCCAAUUUUGAUCCAUUAUAUUCUGAAAUAGUCAAUCAGGUGUUUUUUAAUCAAUGUUCUAUCUCACGCGUUUGUCAAGGGUCGAACACUCUCGGACUCAAUACCAACACGUAUCAAUUGUCGAGGGUGGAACACCCUCGGACUCAAUACAAAACACGAUAAUUCUAUUCAAAACUAACAACUAUCAUAAUAUAAAUACAAAUUAUAAUAAACACUAAAUAAUAUAAAUUUUAAAAAUACAAACUAUAAUAUAUAAAAAAAAUCAUAACAUUAAAUAAAAUUAAAAAAAAUAGAAAAUAUCACCAACGUUGUGUGUUAAGGCAAUGUUGGCCAAGAGUGACACGGCGAAGGCAGCUGACGCGGUGGUGAACACAGAAACAGCGACGGAACACACCAGAAACCAAAGAAAAACCCACGUAUAGAGAAGAAAGAAAAUAAGAAAGAGUGAGUGACACGCUUCCACGAAAGAAAAUAAGAAAGAGUGAGUGACACGCUUCCACGUAUAGAGAAGAAAAAAAAGAAGAAAGAAAAUAAGAAAGAGUAAGUGACACGCUUCUGAAACUAAGGUAAAAAUGAUUUACGAAUGCGACUAUUAGCCACACUCGUAACUCAAGCGCUUUGAUUUACAAGUGCGGUAAAACCAUGUAAAUUUAUUUUUAGAGUGGUGGUGAUAAACUUAAAUCGAUUUGAAAUGGAUAGAGUUACAAUUUUUUUUUAUCGACAAUAGAUAAAGUUAAAAAAUAAAAAGAAAAAUACAAAAAAAAUAUUAAAUAAUGUUAAAAAUAAAAAUAAAGAAAUUUAAAUAAAAAUUAGAUGAGAGAGUAAGUUAGUUUAUAUUAUUUCUUUAGUGAUUUAAUAACUGCAAAAAGAAGAGAGUAAAUUUAAGUAAUAUUUACUAAGGUUUAAUGUACUUUAAUCUAUGUUAUACUUUAACUUAGAAUAAUCCUUUUCAUUACUAUAAACUUUUUAAAAAUUACAUUAUGUACUAAUAACACGUGUAAACUCUAUUUUGGAAAACUUUUCUUUAACAGUCAAAGUUUGGAGUAAAACACAAACAUUUGACAGCUCCUUUUAAUAGUAUAAUAAUAUAUGAGCUCCCAUUUUAUUUAUUUUAUUUUCUGUGACAGAGAAACAUUAUUAGCAGGAAAGAACACUGAGUGAAAGCAGUGUUUUAGUGUCACAGGGAAGGUGGAGUUUGGAGUCUAGAGGAUUUUGUUGAGGACCAAGUUGGCGAGAUUCAAACCUUCAGAUGUGGUGCCAUCGGAGAGCUUGGAAGCAAAAGACCAAGAGAGGACGUCGUUCGUUUCAACGUUCCCUUUAUUAAUCCCAGUUGUGGCAGAGAACCCAACGCUCACCCACUCGGGAAGAACGCUCUUCAGGUCCACUGUGUCAGAGACGAUGAAGCUCGUUUUCUGAGAAGGGUAAACCAGAGAAGCCACCAAGAGAUUCGUGGAGGAGUCAUAGGUGAUCAGAACCUCGGCGUUUUCUCCGUUCACAAAAUCCCACCGCGUCGUUUUGAUAGACCUGAUGGAGUUCACGUCGAUGCCAAUAUGACGCUCUGUGGGGUCCCAGUCCUUGUUGUAGAGGGUGUCGAACUCCACAGCCACAGUAUGGAAAUUGCUGUUGCUGCCGUCGAAAAGACCUAGAAAACCCCCUUUGUCUUUGGGCUGAGAGCCCACGGGGACGAGAGCAAAGGCAAGUCCAUCGGCGGGUCCUGCAUUGUUGGGAACCUGUAUAUUGAAUGUGAAGGAGGUGGCGAAGCUGGCCACGGUGCCGGUGGUGUUGUCCCAGAUUUGGAUGGGGGCGGAGUAGAAGGCGCGGCCCAGAGAGCCCACCCUGGGUUCUCCGUUGCCAUUAAGAUUGGUUAGUCGUAACUGGCCGGAGGAUGAGACGGAGGCAUCGCGUUGGAGGAUAAGGUUGGUUUCGUUGAACCUUUGGAAGUUGAAGUAGAUAUCGUUGCUUGAGUUUGCGUGGGUGAGAAGCACAAGGAAGAGGACAGUGAAGAACUUGGAGGAAGCCAUGUAUGCAUUCAUGCAUUAACCAUCAUUCUCUUCUCUCUAUUUAUAGAGAGAAGAGGUUGGCACGCAACACUGCGACAUGAGAGAAAGACACGGGUGAAGAGGCGGGAGCUGAGGUGGCAGCAUGCAUGCAUGCAUGGCCAGUCGUGUCAUAGUGAGAAGAGGAGAAAGCUGAGGUGGCAACGUGUAUGGCCAGUGGUGUCAUAGUGUGAAAGCUGACGUGGCAGCAUGCAUGGUGAGUGUGAAAAAGGCGCCACAGUGCAGAUGUUACUAACAAAAGCGGUGUGCCAUGCAACUUUUGCCCAUCGUCGUCUUUCUCAUCCAAGUUCCUCUUUAUAAUAUCUUUUACCAAAUCAUAUUUUAAUAUAAAUUCAUUUUAAAUUCAUUUUAUUUUUAAAUAAAGUAAUAUUAUAUCCAUAAAUAUUAACUCUCAUUUAACACAUUUUCAAAUUUAACACUUCUGUAAAUAAAUUUAUUAACAAAAACUUGUAAAUAUGUUCAAAUAAAUCCAUAAAUAUUAACUUUCAUUUUAUUAACAAAAAAAUCUUUACUAUAAGCUUAUUAAAAUGAUUAUGAUUUUGAUACCUUGGUAAGAAGUGUACUUUAAGUUUAACUCAAUCUCAUAAAAUCGACUUAUAAGAUGAGAUUUACAUCCAUUUAUAUGCUAUGAAAUUUUUUAAUCUCUAAUCGAUGUGCGAUGUCCAACAAUUACACUAAAUUUUCAAUCAAGAUAUAAAAGAAUAAAAAUUUAUAUCUUAUUUUUCCUACUCCAAAACUAAAAAAUAAUAAUUUAUUUUAUAAUAACUUUUCACAUUUAUAGAUAACAUUCCUCACUAGUGCAAAAUGUAGAAACAACUACAGUUUAUUAAGUACGACUUUACGAACAGACACAGUCUUUAAAAAUGCGGUGACAUUUUUUAAAUUAAAUUCAUUUACAAAUGCGGCUAUUUGUAAUAGUCACAUUCAUAAAUCAAGCAAUUUGCAUUUGUAAAUCAAAGCGCUUGAUUUACGAAUGCGGCUUCACCUAUAGCCACACUUGUAAUCGAAGCGUUUGAUUUAUGAAUGCGAUUAUUACAAAUAGUCACAUUCUUAAAUCAUUUUUUACCCUAAUUUUUGAAGCGCGCCACUUACAUUUUUUUAUUUUCUUUUUUCUAUUUGUGUUUCGCAUUUGCACUUAGUGUUCAUCUCUUCUUCUGCAGCUUCAUUAAUUUUGUUUUCGUGCCUCCGUAAGUAUCUUCGAGCUGUCUUUCUUCUUCACCAAUGUAUAUAAAUCUUUUUCCUUUAUCUUACUUUGUUUGGUUUGUUGCACUCAAAGUAUUGUUGCAUUAGUGGGUUCUUAUGUGGUUUCUGGAUUUUAAAAUUUAUAUUAUUUAGUAUUUAUUAUAAUUUGUAUUUAUAUUAUGCUAGUUGUUAGUUUAGAAUAAAAUUAUCGUGUUUGUAUUGAGUGCGAAGGUGUUCCACCCUCAACAAUUAAUACGUGUUGGUAUUGAGUUUGGGGUGUUUGACCCUGAUAAGUUACGAUAAGCUCAAAAUGACUCUGAUAUCAUGUUAAAAAAUGGACUUUAAACUUAAUUCAAGCUCAUAAAACCAACUUAUAAGAUGAGAUUUGCACAUACUUAUAUGUUAUGAAAUUUCGUAAUCUCUAUAGUUGAUGUAAUUUCAAGAUAUAAAAGAAUAAAAAAUUAUAUUUUAUUUUUCCUACUCCAAAACUUUUAUUUUAUAAGGUGUUUAUUUUAUAAAAGAAUUACAAGAUAUAAAAGAAUAAUAAUUUAUUUUAUAAUAACUUUUCACGAUAACAUUCGUAGUGCAAAUUUAUUAAAAUAAUAUUGUUAGUUUUCUGAUAAGUUUAUAGAACGAAUUUCUAAUAAGCUUUUUAUUUCUUCUCAAUCUCCAAAGCAUGUACUCUCAACGAUGCAGAUCAGUUUUAGUCUGAAUAUGUGUACUAGUUUAAGAUUAUGUUUUUCUUAUAUAUCGUGUUUAUAAGGUGUUUUAUUUAUUUGUUUAUAAUAGUUUUAAACUUUUAGUUGUAUAAAUAAUUAAAUUUGUCCAAUUCAGAUUAAUUACUUCUUAAUCAUGAUUUGUAGGGCCACUUACACUGUGAUUUGUUAACUAAUAAAAUAGAAAGAAUGUAACGUGUCAAGAUAACGAAAGAUGGUUUAAAAUUCAUGGUAAUUAGACUUAAUAAUUGAAUAUUUGCUUUAAAAUUUAUAAUUUUUUCAAAAAGUCUUUUAGAAAGUUAAAAGAUAAAAAUAUAUUUAAUUGUUUUCUUAAUCCCAACUUGUAUUUGACUAUUUCACACAGAAGAAAGAAGAACUUUAAAUCACAACUUUAGAUUAACAAUAUAUUGUAUUACUUAAACCAAUUAAACAAGUAAUUGAAAAUUGCAAAUUUAUAUUAACAACAAAACUAUCACUACCAGUUUUUAAAAAUCAAAAUAAUUAGUUAUAAUAAUAACUAAAUUAGAUAUCUUAAAAAUUAAAAAAAAAAAAAUUUAAAUUAAUUUUUAUUAUUGUUAAAUAAUUUUAAAAUUGAUAUGUAAUUAGCAACCAAGGUUUUAAUUUCCAAUUAUUUAGUUUCUAAAUUUGAUAGAAAAAAUAUUUGUUGCUAAUUAGAUGUUAAUUUAAAAAUAAUUUUUUUUUUAGUUUUAUUACAAUUAAUUAUUUUAAUCUCUAAAAAUUGAUUUUUAUUUUAUUAUUUUCUUAUUUUAACGAAUAAUUUUAUCAAUAUGAAAUAAUAACUCUUAUGAUGAAUGAGAAUAUUAAUAUUUACAUUGGUAGUUUGACUUUAUUAACUGAACUUUAUAUGCAUGAAAUUUAAAUAUUAUUUUUGUAAAAGUAUCUUAACAAUUAAAUUUAGCAAGAGAAUUUAAUUUGAUUUUGAGAGAGUUUUUUUGUAUUUUUGUCUUGGUAGGGAAAUGGUAUCUGUCUAUAGUGAAAAGUGAAAAUGAGGUGCAUGUGAAAAAGCUUUUCAUUUGUAGAAGUGCUUAGAAUCACGUUUCUUCACUUAUUUCAUUAACGUUGUGAUUGGGUUUUAGGAAGCGGUGCUGACAUACCAAACAAAUCACACGGCAUUCACGAAACACUGACCAGUUGUCGGCAAAACUUAACAAAAUUAUGUUUUUUAAUAUUUUUUUUUCUUAAAAAAAUAUUUUUAUGAUUUUAAUAAAUUUAAUUUUAUAAUAGUGUUUGCCUAUAUUAGAUAAAAAAAAAUUAGUCAAGAUAAAAGAUAAUUUAUAUAUAUAUAAAUAUUUUUUUUUAAUUCAUUAAAAUAACUUUUAAAACUAAAAUUAUGAUGGAGUUUUGAGUAUUAUUUUUAAAUAUAAUGGUUGAUUUUAACAUUAUUAUCUGAAUGAAACAAAUUUUAGAAAUUUCGAUUCUUGGUUCGAUCUGAUUGAUAUAUUUAAAUAAAGAGACUAAUAAAUUUAAACGAUAAAUAAAUUUGAAAUAAUAUUUUUAAUUAUGGUCCGUAUGUUAAUUUGGUCUAAGAAUAUGAUUCAUAAUUAAUUAUUAUGUAAAUAGUUAUAAGUUUUGAGAAGAAAUAAUGUUAAUUAUAUUAAAUAUUAAAUAUUGAAUAUUUACUUGAUUUUCGAAAAAAAAAGUAAGCGAGUGAAAUAUAAAGUAAUAAGUUUUUCUUAAUUUUUCUUAAUCUCUUUCCGUAUUAUAAAAAUAAUAAUUAAUAUAUAUGUAUAUAUAUAUAUAUGAAUAUAACAGUAGUGUGUGAAUAAACUAAUUUUUUUAUUAUAAAAUUACAAACAUUGACAUAUACAUUUAUAUGAUAGAGACGGAUAUGGAAUGUAGGAUACGGAGACACAAAUCUAUAUAUUAUAUAAUUAUGAAUUAUAUAAAUUGACAAUAAAGAUUUAUGCUUACAAAUUAUUUUUUAGAAUAGAAAAAUGUUUUUCAUGGUUCACAAUGAUUUGUUUCUUAUCUUUAUAAUCAUAAUAACAAUUUAUACAAUAAAAUUUGAAUUUUUAAAAAAUUAAUAUAUUUUUUCUUUCUAAAAUUAUGUUAAACCGUACUAGAAUUAUCAGAAAUCUAACAAAUAAUUUUUUAGUGUCCUACCGAUGCAUACAAAUAUCGUUGUCCAAUACAAAUAUCGGACACAACACAUCAUUCAAAAAAAUUGUAUGAAUUUCAUUACUAAUAAAAAUAUAAAAAUAGCAUUAAAGGAGUGUUGGCAAUGCAUCCACGUCAUAAAAAAAUAAAAAAAGGUUGAAUAAUUAAUUUAAAUUUUGGGAGAUAUUUAUAGAGAGAAGCGGUUGGCACGUGGCAGUGGAGAGUGAGAAGAAGGCACGUGUGAAGAGGAGGGAGCUGAGGUGGCAGCAUGCAUGGUGAGUGGUGUCAUGGGGAAGUGUGAAAGCCGCCACAGUGAGCUGCACCGAAGCAGUGUGCCGUACAACUUUUGCCCAUCGUUGCUUGCGUACCCUAACGUCUUUCUCAUCCAACCUCCUCUUUAUAAAAAUAUCUUUAACCAAAUCAUAUUUUAAUAUAAUGAAAAGUAAAAUAAAAGAUAAAAAAUAUUAAAAAUCACAAAAUGUAAAUAACAAAGUAAUGUAUUUUAUAAACAGUUAUAAAACAUUGAAUAUAAAAAAAGAAAUAAUUGGUAAAUUGAAGAGAUGGAGAAAGAGAUAUAGCAAGUUGAGAGAGAGAGGUACUUAUAGAAUGGUACAUUUUGGUGGGGCAUUAUGUCAGAGAACAAUAUAACAUAUCUAAAUGGGACCCCUCUUUUCAUUUGAGGAAGACAAGACCAGGAACAUGCUCUGCCCUUCCCUUGCAAAAAAAACUUAUCAUCAAAUUUACCUAACUCUACCUCUUUUCUUUUACAAUAAUCAUUAUCAAAAUCAUUUUCUCAUCUACCACUUAUUAUUAGAUUUGCCGAUUAAAUAUAAAGUUAAUUUUUAAUUUUAUUAAAAAAAAAUUAUUGUUCUUGUUUGAGAGGAUAAGAAGAAUUUAUGGAUUGAAUUUUAUUUUUAUUUUUUUUAAACUUUUUUUAAUCGUUAGAGUUUCAGUUUUUAUUCGAAGAAAAUUCAUAAGUUAUUCGACAUUAAAAAUUCAGUAUUCAUAUGUAAUGUAAUAUUUGUAAUGUAUAUUGUUAACAAACGGGGUGUUUGGUGGCAAAGUUGUUAGCAUGUGGUGCAUAGUUAUGUUUGGGUUUAGGUUUGGUUUAUAGUUAUCUUUUUAAAUUUGUUGAUGAACUUUUCUAGGGAUUUUUUCUUCUUUUGGCAGAUUUCAACUAGUACGAUGGGAUAAGAUGGUGGGGUCGGCUGGUUGCGAAUUACAUUUCAAAUUUGGACAUAGUGUUGUGAAAUUGUUGAUGGCAUCACUAAAAGGAUGUCGGCAGAUUGAGUCUAGGAUAUUAAUUGUAGGGAUCGACUUGUUCGAAUGACUUUCUGGGUGUGAACUUUGUCUUUCGGCUCCUCAACAGUCUUGGGGCUGGUGGGGUGGUGAAGGACUUGCCGAUAAGAUUGGUCGGUCCAAAGACGAUCCCCCCUCCCCGAGCUUCCUUCUCAUCUUUUCAUUCUCCUUUCGGAGAGCUAGGAUCUCAUUCCCAUUCUUCCGAGUGACCUCCUCGUUCCUUCUCUUCGUCUUAGCCAUCUCUUUGUGUAAAGACAUCAACAAUGUCAUCUGACCCCCUUUGGGCAUCCUUUCGUUAGUCAUGCUUCGGGUUGAUACCGUUUACUUUCUUCUUCACAUGAAUUCUCUUGACCCCACGGUGGACACCAAUUGUUCUCGAACGGGGUUGGGACUUAGAGAACGAUUGAAACUACUCUUCUGAUUCCUUUGUCGGUCGGUUGGUUUGCACUUCUGUUCCUCUCCUUGCAAACUCCUCACUCUCCUCUACUCAUUCCUUUCCUCGAUCUUCACGAAAUUCAUACAUGGAUUGUAUUUGUAGAAGACAAGUUAGAUUUAGUAUUUGACACUCAAUAUUCUAAGUAUUGUGUAAUGACGUAUCUAAUUCUUGAAAUGUGUAUUAUUUAUAUUAUUUUAGUUUAUCUUUUUUAUUGGAUCAAAUUAGAGAAUUUGGAUUAUAUUUAGGAGUGUAUUACCUAACUUAAGCAUAAUUAGACUUGUAGUGUCGAUCCAAUGACGAAAACCAAGUCAUUGAUAGUGUGAAUCUGUAAAAUAAUAAUAUAAAAAUAUUUAUUUAUAAUACAUGAUGAGCCUCUCUAAUAUUAAAUCUUAAUUAAAGCAUGUGUCAUAAUUAAUAUUUAUAUUAUUUAAUUUCUAUACUAUUUAAUCAUCAUUAAUAUACAUUUUAAAAUAUAGGAUGACACACUAUAAUUUUUUUACGGUACAAUAACUAUUAUAGGAGUGUUUAUUUUCAAAGUUCAAAAAAUCUAUCCUCAUCUGAUAAUAUGUGAAUAAAUGAUAAUGUGGAUUUUUACUAUCCAUAUAAAUUAAAAUUCUUUACCAGACGUGAAGAUAGAAAAGUAAAGAAGCUUUUUCAGAGUUUUUAAAAAAAGAAAAGAUUUGGAUAAUAUUAUAAAGAAAGAAAAAGGGUGGAAAUGGGUUUAUUCGAAUGUGAUGUGGUAGAAGAGAAAAAAAGUUCUCAUCUAUCAAACUUUUUUUAUUCCACCACAACAACAUUGUCAGUGCCUGCUUCGGUAAAGAGACAACGUGCUUUUGUACAAUUGCUUUAAGCUAUUUACAAUUCUAAUUUGAAAACAUUUUACAUGAUAUUAAUGUAGCUUCAUCAUUAAAAAAAACUAUACGUGGGGAUAUAAUACAGAUAAAAAUAAAUAGAAAUUUAAUUUAAAAAAAUCACAGAAUUAAAAUAAAUAAUGAUCUGAUUUUUUUUUUUUAAGAUUUUGAUUACAAGUCUUGAAAAGAAUAAUAAGAUAAGAGGAAUUAAAGUUUUUCUUGUUCUUUGAGAUCAAAUGAUUCACGAACAAAAUUAAGGACUCAUAUGGUGGUUUUGAUUGUAACAUCUAAAAACAAAUAAGUUUUUGGUUGUAAUAAUUUUCAAUUUAAAUUAUGAUAAGUAGUAUAAUCUAGGAUUGAUAUGAUUUCAUAAGUACCAUAACCAAAUUUAAAUAUAAAAUAUGUUAUUCAACUUUAUUUGUUAUAAAUAAUUUCUUAAAUUUUAAAUUUAUAAAUAAAAAUACAAUUAAAUGAAGGAAGUCUUAAUGUAAUUCAUCACUUUCCAUUCCAUGCAUUAAUUUAACAAAGUCUAUAAAUAAUUUGUAAUUAAUAUUUCUCAUGUCAGAACUCCACUUAUCAAUAUCUAUAGACACUUAAUUAUACUUUUGAAAGACUCGUGUAAUGACUUAAACUCAAAUAUUUGUACUUGUCCUACUAUCUCGCUAUGAAUCCACGGAGUCAUGUGCAUAAUAAUAUUAGUACCAAAUCAUAUCAUAUGACACAGUUAAUUCAUAUGAAAUGUCACACACGUUAUAUUUCAAAUUGUAGACUCAAUCAUAUGAGCAUCAUUCAACUUUCACCACCAGAUAAUCUUCGUUUAUAUGAUUCCACUAUACCAUUAAAGUUAAGAUACAUUAUUUUAGACGAAUCUCUAAUUAAUACAUAUCAUAGCGAUCUAAACACAAUAUUUUCUUUCUUGAAAAUAAUGUCUCAAUCACAAUUUCACACUAUUCAUUUUUCAUGACAAAUAAUUUAACUCAAAAUAGACUAAAAAAAAAAACAACUUACUCUAAUCAAAAUUAUAAUUAAAAAAUUUUACUUUGUUCAUUAUCAAAAGUCUAAAAAAAAUGUCCUCCCAUAGUCAAUCUUGUAAAUGUAAAACUAAAAAAUUAGAAAGAAAAUAAAAAAAAGAAAAAAUUGUAAAAAAAUAUAAUUAUAUUAAAUAAAAUCUAAAUAACUAAUUUUUUUAUUUAUAUAUAUUUUUCAUUUUAAUUAUAUAUAAAAUUAUCUUCUAACUCCAUUACAUUUACUAAAUGUGUUUAAUAAUAUUUUAAUAGAAACUUGCCACCAAUAACGCUAAUAAAUAUUUUGUGUAUAGAAAGCAGAAAUGUCAACAAUAUAUUUUCUAAAAUAUAUUAUUUGUUAGCGUUUAAUAGAAAUUACAAAGGAAAAAACUGUCUUUAUUUAAUAAUUUUUCUUAAUAAUAAAAUAAUGAAAUAUUUAUUAUUUAAAAAUAGGCUAGAAAUUGAAUAUAUUUCACUUGAUGGAUCUGACAAGUGAGAAAGUGUGGAAAAGAUUAACACAAGAAAGGUAGGUGGAGAGAAUGGAUCCAAUCAAUGCUAAAGUAAAAUGACAACACUUUUUUCUCUAAAAAAAAAUGAUAAAACCAACGUCCCAAAGUAGAUGAGAACAGUUUUUAUCAUUAAAAAAAGUACCAAAAGUUUGAUCUGUAUGAAGAAAGAGAAUACAAGUGAAAAAAAUAAUAAUAAUUAGGUCAUAUUUGCAAUAACUUAUUUUUAUAUUUUAAUAUAAGUGUGUAGAAUAAAAUUUAUAUUUAAACUUCAAUUCAUUUAAUUAUAUAAUUAAUGUUAGUAAAGAUGAAUGAGAGUUAAUGUUUUUGGUUUAUUAGAAGAUAAUAGUUGUGAUUAACUUUUAGAUAAUAGACUAGAAUAAUGUCUAAAUUAUGUAUUUAGCAAAUGAUAACAAAAUAAAACACUAUUGUUCAAAUCACAUUAUUUUCUUAAAAAAUAUUUAUUAUUAUUAUUAUUUUGAGUUAGUUUAAAUAUUACAAAUAACCAAUUUUAGAUAAAAAAAAUAAAUAGUUAUUAUAAUGAUUAAAUUAGAGACUAUAAAGAGAAAAAAAUUUGUUGAUUUUUAAAUUAGUUUCUAUUAUUGUUAAAUAGUUUAUAAAUUGAUAUUUAAUUAGCUACCAAUGUUUUUCUACCAAAUUUAGAAUUUAAAUAAUUAGUAAUUAAAAUAUUGGUAGUUAAUUAGAUAUCAAUUUAAAAACAAUUUAACAUUAAUAGAAACUAAUUUUUUUUUUAAUUUCUAAAAUAAUUUAUAAUUUAGUCACUAGUAAUAUAAAUAAAUAAUAUGAAUAUGGGAGAGAUUUUUUUAUCUUACGAAGUAGUCUAACUUGAUAGGAGAGUAUUAAAUUAUGCAAUGUAUGAAAUAAAAUAUUGAGAAAUCGAGUGAUGAAAAUGAAUGAAAGUUCAUGUCAACUAUUUAAGGGUGAGGAUUUAUUUGAACUAAAUGAGUUAUGGUUUGAAAUUGUAAUUAUUAAAUUCUUUGACAUUCUUUGGUAUUGUUUGGUAGGCAGUGAUUGUGUAUAAAUCAAUAAUUUAUUCCAUUAAUUUUAUAUUAGAUUAUAGUAUUUAAUUAAUUUUCAUAAAUGUUAGAUUGUUCCUUUUCAUUAUAUUUGUGAUUAUCUUGUUUUAACAUUAGAGUUUAUCAUAAUAUAAAGAUGAAUCAUAUGCACAGAUGUUGCACAUAUUUGUAAUUACAAUAAAGAAUAUCAAACAAGUACAUUUAAUGGAUAUUUGUAGAUAAUAUACAUAUGCCAUCUUAAUUACUCAUUUGAAUCCAUGAAAUUAUUAAUGAUUUUUAUUUAGGUAUUUUUUUAGUUAAAUCACAAUGACUAAUUUAUGAUUUAUUUAUAGAAAAUUUGUUCAUUAGUAUAAUAGGCUUUCAUCUAGUAUCUUUUUAAAAAUAUUUAUUAAUAUGUAUAGUCUACCUAUGUAUCGUUUUUGUUAACAUAUGAGUUUUGGUAUAGUUUCCGCAUAUUUUUUGUAUUUUUAUAUUUUUUUUAAUAAUAUUUUUUUUCAUGUGAUGAUAAAUGAUUGUUGUUACUUGAGGUGUUAGUCUAGCUGAGAUAUCAAGUAGCAUAGUGAUGUCUAACACGAAAUUUUUUUAUAAAAAAAAUUUAUAUGAAACACGUGAGAGUUUAACUAUGCAUAUAAUUACAAAUUUAAUCCUUUUAGUAAAAUACUUUUACCUUUUAAUUUACCUUAUACCUAUUUUUACUCUUUUGUUGAAUCUACUAUUUUAUUUUCUGUGGUUGAAAUUAGGUAUACGAAUUAGAGAGGUUAAUAUGUAGUAAUUUGAAAAGUGGCAUGUACUAGUUGGUGGUUGUAGGACAAUCUAACACCCCCAUGGACUCACUAGAACCUUCUUUCCUUGGCUUUGAUGAUUGAUUAAAAAAUAAGCAAGAAAAUUUGUCAACAAAACAAACCCAUAUCUAAUCUUUCUAUAAAUAAUAAUAUUCUACAAAAGGAAAACACACCAAAACAAAAUCAAUCCACCCCAAGAAUCUACCACCACCUGUGGUGUGACCCACUCACCACUCCACCAAAUCCCAAACUUUCAAAACAAAAAAUUAAAAAAAAAACAAAAAAAAAACACACAUGAUGUUUCCUAUUACGUGGUCCCCACCCGGAAUCGAAAUCCAAAUUAAAUUUAGUUAAUUGUCGGAAAAGAAAAAUCAGCUAUCUGCAAUAAUGGCCAACGGAUCUCACACGCCAAAAAGGAAAACUCAGAACAACACACAACACAACAUCAGUUUCUAUUUUUUUUUUUACAAUUUAUUUUUUUCACUAAGUAUUUAUUAUAUAUAAUAGAAUCUAUUUCUAUUUAGUGUGGGAAAAAGAAAAAAAAGUGCAGAAUCAUUGGUAUCAACAAAAUUUUCUUGAUAAUUUUUGUAUGAAUAUUAAAAAAAGUUAUGGUUUUGUGUGAAAGAAAAAAGAAGAUAGAGAGAGAAAGAAGAAGUCCGUGAAUGGAGUUGUGAGCGAUAUGCACGCGCCUGUCACUAUCUUGCAUUAGGAAUUAAAGUAGAGAAACCCUAUCUCACUUUUUUUCUCACCCUUAUAUAUAACACCAUUCACCCUUUCUCUUUCUUCCCACCCAACCCUUUCAUCUUUUCUCUCUCUUCACUCUUUUCAACUUUUUCUUCUCUUUUCUUCCUUCCAUGGAGGAUUCCAAGAAGCGAGUUCGUGACGAGUUAGCCACUGACUCGCCCCACUUCAAGAUUCCCCGAGUUCACUCCUCCGAGUCACUCCUUCAACCCGACGUUCACCUGCAGGACCACAUUUUCAACAUACUUGAUGACGCCGACAAUGUCUCCGACCGUGCCACGGUGCAGGGUCUCGACUCAGUCAUCAAGAGCUUCGAAGACGAAAUCAAGGCUCCGGCUUUCGACCCGACCCAGCUACCCGAUUCCGGCGAGUUGCAAAAUAAGCUCGGAUAUUUACUCGAGGCUUCCGACGACGAGCUGGGGUUGCCGCCGACAGAAGCGGCUGCUGAGGAGCCGGGUCGGGUUGACCCGGAACUUGACCCGGAAAUGGCGGAGCUUGCUGCUUUCAAUGGGUUUGAAGACUAUGUUCCGGGCUUUGAUGCAUUUGGGUUCGGUUCUGAAUUCGCGGCGGAGUGUGACGAUGGUGCUGCGGGUUUUGUGACUGUGGAUGGGUUGUUCGAUUAUGCGGAUUCGCCGGCGGAUGUUUUGUGGCGGUCGGAGUCAUUACAGGCUAUGUAAGCGGCGGUGAUGAAGUUUUGUGGUGGGUUAGUGAAACGGUGCUUAGGGGUGGAAAAUGUAAAUCUAGGAAAGUUUGGGGGUACGAAGAGACAAAAAAAAAGUAGCACAGAAAUGUAGGUGUAGAUGUGAAAAGUUGUAGGGCUAAGAUUUGUUUGUUGCUUCAGUUUUUUGGUUGAAUUCAAUUGAAACAAACUGGACUCUUGACGACACCGUUUUUACAUUUGUUUUUUUGCAUAUUUUUUUAUUUAUUUUUGGUUUUAUUUAUGGAACUAAAUAUCUUCUGAGCUGAAGUAAAACGUUUAAUUACUGUAGUAAAAAUACUUUUAAUUAUUGAUUAUUUUAUAAAAUAUCUUUUAUUAAAUUUUUCUAUAUUUUUUAAAUUAUUAAUCGACAAAAACAUUACAUAACUAAAUUUUCAUGGUUGGUAAAGUUCUUUCAUCAUAAUCUCAAACUAAAUAAAAGUAAUUAAACAGAAGUGAUGAAAAAAUUAAUUAAUUCCACAUUUAUUUGCCUUUCUGUCUCACUAGAAAGAAAAAAAAAAGUCCCAUUAAUGGUUAGCGUUACAGCUUAUUUAUUUAUUAAUGGUAGUUACGUAAUAAUAAUAAAUUGAAAACGAUUUUGUUUUUGUAUUAGAAUAGUGAAAGUUUUAUGAUUUGAGAGAAGAUAUUCUUUUCUAGAUUUAUUUGAUAGGUAGAAAAAGCAAUUACUUAGAUCAUUUGAUUGUUUACAAAAAAAAUAAAAAAAAAUAUACAUGAUGGUGUUAUGUUUAGAUAAUAUACAAAAGUAAAAUUUAAAAUUUUAUAACGUAAAGUUUAUACAUUAUAAAAUAUUUUAAUUUUUAUAAUGUAAAGUUUAUAUAUUAUAAAAUAUUUUAAUAUUUACUUCACGUAAAAUUUUCAAUGUAUGUAUUUAUGUGAAGAUCCGCAUGUUAAGAUUUUUUGCUUAAUUUUUUUUAUAUUAGAUUUUAAAAUUCGUGAUAUUUCCUGUAGGAUUAUAUUUUUAAAUUGUAUCAUCAUCUAUAAUACAGUUUAAAAUUAUAUUUUAAAUUAUAUAAUAAUAUUAUAUAUCGAUCCAAAAAUAUUUUAAAUUGAUUGAAUUAUAUUUGAAAAAUAUAAUAUAAGAUGUAAGAGUAAACAAGUUAAAAAUAAUUUAAGAAUUUUUUUACAAUUUCUAAUUUUUAAAGGAGUAAAUAUUGAGUUUUUUUUUCUCAAGUUAAUGUAAUAUUUAGUAUUUGUCUCAAUUUGUUUAUACUAUAUUUUAAAUAUAUUUUCUUAUUAGUUAUUGAGAGUAUUCAAUUUUUGAAGACCAAAAAAUAUGUGUUGCAAAAAAAGUUAGUUAGAUAGAAUCAAUAUCCGUUGCGAGAAUUCUUAUCCACCCAUGGCGUUCACCGUGCCCAUUGGGAGUGGCGCGGCGAUAAUCCCCUGCGGCAACACUGCCGCAACCACUCGCUACACCCGUCUCCUUUCUUCGUCUAAUCGAACGCCAAGAAAUCACCUCCAUGUGGCGUGCUCGAAGAAGUUCUCCUCCGAUUCGCAACCUUUCAGCGCCGUAACAGAACCGCAAGCCACGGCGGAGAUCGGAGACGAAGAGCCCAUGGACGAGGAGUUUGCUGCCCUUUACAGUAAGGUGAAUGGCAUUCUCGAGGAAGAAGCGGACUUUUGGGAAGGACCGCAGUGGGACUUGCUCGGCUUCUUCGUCAAGUAUUCCUGGAUUAUUGGCUUCGGUGUCGCGGUAUAACCAAUCACUCUAUUCUCCUUAGUUUCUUCUUUAUUAAAAAAGUGUAUUAUUCAUAAGUGACCGUAAAUUUCAUCGAUGGAUUUUAUAAAUUUGAUUUAAAUUUAAAAUUUAUUUCUAAUCAUUUUGAGGCGAGUCAUUUUGAAUUAUUUUGAUCUUAUGUUAGUGAUUGUUUUGUUAGACAUGUAUUAAGUCAUCUGUUAUUGAGUCAUUGGGUUGUUAUCAAAUGAGUAUAAUAUAUAUCCUAUGGAUGAGUUAGUAGUCUCAAUGUGAGGAAUGUGAGGAGUAGGUUGAAAAUCCUAUAUUAAACUAUAAAUUAAAAUAUUUUAAAUAAGUGGAUACAAGUUUGUAAGUUGAAUUAGAAUUAAAUUUAAUUCUUACUAUUCAUCUUUUUCCUGAAAUUUAUGUCUCUUCUACUUGAAAUUACAGUUCAGUGUUUAACAUAAUCGUAUAAAGUUUAAAGGAUAGCAUGGUUGUGGAGAUUGCAAAUGCGUUAUGUACUUCUGGAACAAGACUUCAAUCUUAAUUUUAAAUUAAUUUAAUUAUGUUUAUUUUAAAAGAAAAAAAUAUUAGAAUGAACUAUAUAUAAGUUGAUUUUGUAUAAACUCUUUCCAAUAAAUAACUUACUUUAGAUUUUAAUUUUUAACCUUUAUCUUUAAACUCAUAAAAUAGUGCUCGUCUUAGUCUCUUGUGUUUAAAUCUGUUGGACUAAGAGAUUUAAGAUUAAAAGAAAGUUAAAAAAUUACAGGUUAAGGUGAGUAGUUGCUAGCUACAGGGAUUAAAGCCUAGAAAUGAUAUAGGUAUAGAGAUCAAAUGAGUAAUUAGAUUUUUAAUUUUUAAAAGAAUGGUGUUUUUUACACUAGCUUUUGUUGCAUCACUGGGUGUUUCUCAUGAAUUGUUCUUCGUUAAGUUCUUAAAUAUAUAACUCUUUUUCUUAGUUUAAAGACAUGUGUGUUUGAUUCAAGAGGAAAGAACUAGGGUCUUGCUUUGGUUAUUUUGGACAAACUCAAGUUUCGAGUUAAACACUAUCUCUUAUAUUGAGAUUUAAGAGAUUUAUCUCUUCUUACAAUUUAGCAUUAGAGUUGAUCCUCAAGUUAAUACCCUCUUAGCCCUUGAUAUUGUUGUGGUCACGGGUCUAUCUAUAAGAAGAAAUUGAUUAGGGAGCAUUUAGUUAUAGAUGUUUUAUUCAAUGGAAAACACAGUUUAAUAGUAGAAUACUAUUAUUUAGCGAAUUCUAUAUCUGAAAGAACUCUCGACCACUUAUUAUUUAGUUGGAACUGGAACAAUCCAUAACUGGCUGAAGUUGCAGAUGCUUUUGACUAUGUGUUUUGUUUUUUAAUUUAGAAUUUUAGAGAAUGAUGCUAUUCUUUCAUAGAAAUGGGUAGUGUAAACAUUCAAUGUCUAUGAUGGUUCAAUCAAGGUUUUAAAUUGUAACAUUAAACAACAUCAUGACAAUAAUCAUGUCUAUUAAUUUGCUUGAAAUGGAUAUCUUUACUGAAUCUUUGGAUGUGCUUAUGUUCACUGUCAUUACAGGUAUGUGUUAGUCUAUAUGGUUGUCUUACAUAUCAACAACCAUCAAAAGAAGUGAUGGAUGAGAUUGAAAGAAAGUAUGGAGUGAGGUCUGGUGUGGAGUCCAGUGUGGAGUCCAGUGGAGACUCCAGUGCAAAAUCCAGUGCAGAGUCCAAUGAUGUUUUUGAAGACCUUGAUUCAUAUGACUCUGAUGUAUUUGAUUCCAAUCCAACAGAAGUGGCUCCUAGUUUGAAUUAGAGUCUUCAUAGACACUGGAUAUGUGCCUUAUUUUUGGCAUAUCAAUGCAGAGAAAUGAAUUCAAACUUUUUCUGAGCUAAAUUUGUAAGGCAAUGCUUCUACUUAUAUGUACACCUUUUAUAAUGUAUUACUUCUCCGAUAGAUUAAAUGAAGUGAGUUAAUUAUACAUGGACAUGCAUGGUUAGUAGUAGGAGGAUUUCAUGUGAUUGCUCAGGUAUCAUUGUUGACAAUCUUUAGUCUAUGUUGCAUACCAAAACCAUUAAAAUGAAAAUAAUAUAUCGCUUUAGACUAUAAUACAUUUGGAUUAUAAUUCAUGAAAUGUAAAAAUUAAUACUCAAUAUUUAGUUUAAUGGGUAAGAUAGAAGGUAAAAGUUUUAUAAUCUAAUUAUAAUUUUUCAUAAACUAUCUAAAAAUUCUUCCAAUCAGAAUUACAUGAUAAAUUUAGUAUAUAAAUAAUUUACUAUACUUCACCCACUAAAAUUAUUACAUCAUUUAUGUCACUAAAAUAAAAACUAAUAUUGCUAGAGUAGUAACAUCCAGUUUUAUUGUGUUUAAGUUAGUGGCUUCACUACUUCGAAACCCAAAUCCCAUGACAGGUGUUGGUGGAACAGAAAAUGCCGGAGAAGCUACAAAUUCAGAAGAGCAAGAUCAUUACAAAUAGGAAGCAAUUUACAGGACAUCAACAAAGGAAAUUAUGACAAUAAUCGGUUUAAUUACUUGAAGAGAAAUGGUUAAAUAAAAAUACAAGAAAAUAUGAGAUUUAUAAAAAAAAAGUGUUGCUUACCAAUAACAGUGGAAUUGUUCGUUGUGUCUAAGGAAACCUGAGAAUGAGGAGCAGUUGCAGGCCUAUGCACUUGUUUCACUGAGUUAAAGAAAUGAAGGAAAAAUCAAUUCAAUGCAUAAUAACAUACAAUUAUUUAUACAAAUUGAUAAUAUAUGAUUUUAGAUCAAAUGUGACUAUUUAUGCAACCUAAACAGGCAGAGUUAUUGGUAUUAAGUUGAAGCAUGCAAAGAGCUGGUAACUGCAGAGCAAGUGUUCUGUUGAUAGGGAGAGAACUGAAGUUAGUGCCAUUGAACAAGAGGCAAAGACAAUGUGGCUCUUGGCUGUAGAUCUGCUUGAGGUUGUCACAGCAUUGUGCCACUGGAGAAGGGGAAGUACCCUGCACAAAUGGUGUGCAAGGAAUGAGAAAAAUUAGGCUUGGUGUGCAUUGGGCUAUGGUGGGGCUUGAAGGGCUAGAGUCUUGUGAAAGUAUGUUGGGAAGAUUGGAAAUAAACAGCAAGAGAAUAAUCUGAUACAGAUUGAGGGCAAGAUAGAAACUAUCCAGAGAAACCAUAUUGUUAUGCAUUUUAGUGUUGGUGGAAGGUGUCUAAAUAGGUAUAUGAUCAGUUUUCUGUGUGAGUUGUUCCAUACAUUAUGUGUGAGUUCCAUCUAACAUGUAUUGCUUGUUUCUUCAUGUGAUAAACUAACUUGUUUAAAAGCUUAAAAUGUAAGGCAAAGUUACAACAGUUUAAUUUUCCUGAAUCUAAAACUUUUUAUAUUAUCAAUCAAUUAAAAACUGUACAUGUAACUUUUAAAAUUAUUGUUGGAGAUCCCACGUCGACUAGAGAUUAGAGCCUUUCAUUGUAUAUAAGUGGGUGCAAACCUCACCCCAUUGAGCCGGUUUUAGACUUAAAGUCGUAAUAAUUAUUAAAAGAAGUCAAUAAUCUCUCACUGUAAAGUUUUCUCAACUUUAAUUAUAAGAUGUUUUGUUGAAUACUAAUAAACCAAAAACCAGUACUAAUGUGCACAACAAUCUUUAUCCUAUCCCUGCCUUUCCUUUCUUUUCUUUUUCCUUUUUAUUUACUUCCUAUGCAUAAUUAGCAUGGUAUACUUCCAUGAUAAAAUUGUUUUAAUUGUUAUUUUUAAAGGAAAAAUAUAAGAACAUAACUGUCAAAUCUGAAACAGAAGUCAAGUGAGGAACCAGUUUACAGGUCUCUACAAAACAUAUAAUUUAAAAAACACAAAAAUAGAGUUGACCAAAACCUGGCAAGAUAGAUAUUCAUUUGCUCUAUAUAAAUGUGAAAUGCUUGACAAUAAAAAUAAAACAUAUUUUACAUGUUAAAUAAUGAUAAGUUCAACUAGCACAAGCACAGGAAGUAAGUAUGUUUUCCUUUGUUUAUGUAGUGGCAUGCACAAAACGGCAACAAAGAAGUCAGGAAUAAUGUGACAAACUAAGCUACAACUGUGCUACAUUAGCCUCCCUUUGCCUAGCUAGUCACAGAAAGAAUCAGAUUCAGAAAUUAAAAGGAGCAUCAGUGUCAAGGAAAAUGCUAACCAGCUCAUUAUAAACACUUUUUGACUCUCAAAGUUUGUUGUUGCAUGCCUUUUAAGAAUCCUUUUUCUUUUGCUAGCUCAUUCAUACUAUUUGGAUUUUUCAAAUUCCAGUUCUAAGUGUCUCUCUAUCUCUUCCUAAUUGCCAAUUGAUCGGUUUCAUGACAGUGAAGGCAAGCACUGAUCACCAUCUUUUGGUUACCUCAAUAGUUCUGAAGCCAUAAAUGCUUAAAAUACCAUCUGAAUCAUUUUUGUUUCCUUUGGGUUUGCAGUACUUCUGCAUGGUGAAGAGGAUCAAUAUUGAUUGUAAUGGAUGUUACAGAAAAGUCAAGAGAGCCAUUCUUGAUAUGCCAGGUUAGAUCAUGUUUGGAUUUCAGUAGAGACAGUAACAUAUAUAACAUUUUUCUUGUUGAAAAAAUUGUAUUGAAAUUUCACAAAAAUGCUUUUCUAACUUUUAUCCAAAAAGUAUAUCUUUAGACAUCAUUGAUCACUCUUAAUUUCAUGGUAAUAGCUUCUUAAACUGUAGAUUCUCUUUAUUUCUGACUGUGCUAGAGUUGGAUAGUCAUCUCCUUGAGAAGCAGCAGACAAACGUAGUGGUAUGUGGCAGGUUCAUCCCCCAAGAUGUGGCAAUCAAGAUAAAGAAGAAAACUAAUCGCAGAGUUGAGAUUCUAGACAUACAAGACUUGAGCGACAGCAAUGAAGAGGAAGACCAGAAACCAAUGACCAAUAAUUGGACCACCCAGAAUCAGAUAGAAACAUGUCUGGUUUGACAGAACCAGAGAAUAUACAUACAUAUGUAUUCAACUUGUGAAGUCAAUAGUUUGGGUGUGUUUAUAAUUUGUUGGGAAGAAGUUAUUUAGCUGGUAGCUUUUGAAUUAGCUAGGUUGCUACUGCAUAUGAACCUUAUGUUAAUGGCAAAUCAAAAGAAAGAAAUAAAAAGUUGCUUCAUUUGAAAAUUCAAAACACACAACUGAAGCACCCUUACAACAGGGUAGGUUUUACAUAUGCAUCAGCAUAACAUUUAUGCCUUCUUUCCCUUGCAUGCAUGCACCUUUUAUUCCUCUUCCAUACUCUAUAAUAACCAUAUACAACAUCCACCACAAUUACACGACAUGUAUGUGUACGUAUAUAUGCAGCAAACUUAUUAAAAACACAACAAGAUCAUAUGUUUUACUAUAUAUGUUGCAUGCAUGCACACACACGAUGUCUCUACUUGUUGUCACUGUGUACUCCUGGAAUCUUCUCUUUAAUCUUGUCCAUUAUCCCUUUCUUCUCCUCAUUUCCAUGCUCCCUCCCAUACCCAGCUCCAGUUCCACUUCCAUAACCACCACCAGUUCCACUUCUAGGACCAGUGCCUGUGUCAGCGGUGUUGUCUCCAACGUAAGGACCACCACCGACAGCAGUGUCACCAGCAAAGCCACCGGUAGUCCCAUGCUGUCUCCCGGUGUCACCAGUUAAACCACCGGUAGUCCCAUGUUGUCUCCCGGUGUCACCAGUAAAACCACCGGUAGUCUUAUGAUUUCUCCCGGUGUCACCAGUAAAACCACCGGUAGUCCCAUGCUGUCUCCCGGUGUCACCAGUAAAACCACCGGUAGUCCCAUGCUGUCUCCCGGUGUCACCAGUGAAACCACCGGUAGUCCCAUGCUCUCUCCCGGUGUCACCAGUAAAACCACCGGUAGUUCCAUGCUGUCUACCGGUGUCACCAGUAAAACCACCGGUAGUUCCAUGCUGUCUACCGGUGUCACCAGUAAAACCACCGGUAGUUCCAUGCUGUCUAGCGGUGUUUACACCGUAAAGAUUACUGGUAUUACUGGUAUCAUGUUGCUUGUUAGUAUCAUCAGUAACACGACCGGUUCCAGUGGUGGCUAUAUAGGUGACACUAGUAGAAUGAACCGGGUUGCCAAACUCAUCAGUUGUCUUGACAACGUUGCCAUACUCGUCGAUCUUGCGACCCUGUUCAUCCUCGUACUGCUUCUGAUAACUUGCCAUGAUUUUUCUUGUUGUUGUUGUGAUAGGUUUAUGUGUUUAUAAGAGGUUUUGUGUUUGUCUGAAGAUGCUGUUGAUGAUGAAGAGAAGCAUGCAAGCAUGGGGUUUUAUACGACAAACCAAGCAUGAAAAUCUGGUCAAGGCUCUUGAAAGCAUGACACGUGCCAUGUGGAUUUCACGAAGCAACUGCCACGUGCAUGGACACGUGUUGGUGUGUUUUUCAAGUGAAAGUUGCGUUGUCGUUUUGAGGAAUGACACGUGCGGGCUCUACUUGGUGGAUCGGUGGAAGAGGCCCAAAUGGAUAAGGCCCAAGUGAAAGGUAUGAAGAACGUGACACCUGUGACAAUUCGAUAAAGAUACCACAAUCCAAAAUUAGCCACGGAAAAUUUAUGAUUAAACUUUUCUUGAAUUUUAGGGUUUAGAAUUUUAAAUUUAAAAAUAAAUAAAAAAUAAAUAAAAUAUUAAUUUAUUGAAAUGUAAGACACUAUCCUAUUAAUUAUCAUAAAAAACCCUCCAUUAAUUAGAUAUGUCUUAAAUUUUUAAAUACUUUUUAAAAAGAAAAAUAAAAAAGUGAAAUUAACUUAAAAUUUGUCUAUACACACAUUAAAAAUAAAACUUUGUAUACCAUAACCUUUCAACCAAAAAUCUACAUUUAAACGUUUUAAAUUUUCGAUACUGAUUUGCAUAUAACUUAUUUUUAAUAUAUUUAUUUUAAAAUUUAAUAGUAAUAUUAUAUAUAAUAAUUUGUGAUUACAAAAUAUAGGUAAAACGUUUUAUGCUAUAAUUUUUUUCUCCUAUAAUACUUAAUAAUGAUUCAUGAAUUACAUUUAUAUAUUGGUGUGAUUAUCACACCUAUAUGUUAGAUACAGUUAGAUCAUUUCUCUUAGUUAUUGUUUGAUAUUUAGAUUCCAUUUUAUCACAAUUUUAUUAUGAAAAUAUAUAAUGAUGAUUUUAGGAAGAAAAAUGCAUAUAAAAAUUUUUCUAGUUGUGAUUAAUGUAAAACUUUUAGGUAUGAACAACCUCCCUAAUCAAUGUGAAGGAGUUCGAAAAAUCUAGCCACCCAUACUUACUACAUUAAUAUUUUGAACAUUACAACUUUCAUAAACCUAAUUAGAAUCACCCAUAUUCUUCUAUUUAGAUUUAUAAUACAAGUUUAUCUUAAAAAUGAAAUUUCAUAAUAAAUUAAAUAGAGAGAGUUUCGACUUUAAUUAUAUAAAAUUAUAAGUAUAUAUAUAAAAAAAUCUCCUAAUUGAAAUUUAGAAAUUAAAGAAAUAAAUUUCAAGUUUAAAAUUAAAUGAUGUUUAUAUCCAUUUACAUAUCAUCAAUUAAUUUUACCUUAAUCGGUGAAAUAUUUAAUAUGACUCAAUUUUAUUGUAAAUUUAUUAAAAAAAAUCAAAAUUGAAAAGUAUGAAUAUUUAUAGUCAUUUAUCUUAAGAAUUAAAUUUUAAAAUUACACUAAUUUUAUUUUGUCUUUCCCACACAAGUAUUAACUCUUUUAUUAGAUGUGGAAAUAUAUAUGUUAUUGUGGAAAUAUUUUAUUUACAGUGGAUCUUCAACGUGGAUUGUGAAAUGUUUAACAAUAUUUGUGUUUGAAGAAUCAAGUUUUGAUUUUAUUUUAGAAAACAAUAAAACAUUUUUUAUAAAAUAAAUUAAUCAAAACACUUUAUCAAAAUUGGAGUUCGUCUUGUUUCCUACGCGAUGAUAAAACAAAAGCACUUAACCAGCAAAAUAAAAUGAUUUUUUUGGGUCAACGAAUUAGAAUUAAGAGAAUGAAUGGUUUUGAAUUGCAAAAACUUGAUAUAAUAUUAUAUAUCAUGUCCAACUAUUUUUUAUAGAAAAAAGUCAGUAAUAUAAAAAAUUGAAGAAGAAAAAAAAACACAAUUCCUUUAAUAGAAUGCUUAAAAUGUCAAUGUAUAAAAUACUAAAAGUCAUAAGAACAUUUUAAACAAAAUUCUUAUUUUAAAUUCAUAAAAAGUCCACCAGUAAAAUAGAUGAUGAAGAUUUCAAUAAAUAGUUAUAAAUAUUUGUUCUCCCUUAUAUUUUUAUAUUUAAAUUAUUCAUAAAUGAGUUGAAUAAUUUAUUCAAGAGUGAAAGCUUAUUCAGUAAUAUUUUUAUUUAUUUAUAAGGAGUUAAAUUUAAUACACAACUGAAAGAGAAAAUUAAAUACAUUGUUAUUUUCACAUAAAUAUUACUUGAUCAUCUCUUCAAUUACUGAAAAACAAAAUGCCAAUUUUUUUCUAAAAUAUAAAUAUCUACUAUUUAAUGUAUGAUGAGCUAUAGGGAAACUUUAUAACAAAAAAUUAAUUAUAUUAUUUCCUAGGAAUUUCAGCUGGUAUACUAGAUUAAAUAUUAAUCUCGAUUAUUAAUUCCUUGAAAUUUCACACUAAUUUUUUAUCAAAUGAGUUCUUUCCACUACGAUUAUUAUUUCUCGAACGUGCGAGCUUUUGAAAUUUAAUCAUAUAUCUAUGUAUCAAGUUAAACCUAAAUUAUAUAUACAUGUUAACGAACAAUUAAUCACACAAAUUAAGUAAAACUAUUUAUAUUUUAAUCUCUUAACAGCGUGUUAAAAAUUUAAUAAAACUAAUUAAUAAUAUUAUGCUUUAUUAUCUGAAAAUAGCAUAUAAAUAGAAUUUUUUUUAACAUAUUUUCCUUGCAUAAAUCAAAUGUGUUUUUUUUUAUUGGAAACGUAUUAUUUAAUCUUUAAAUAUUAAAAUAACUACAAUUUUUAUGAUUUCAACUCAAAAUCUUUUAUUAAACUAUAUCAAUCAAAUUUUUAUGAUUUCAACUAACAUUUAAUUUAUUAAAAACUUGAAAGCUUUAAUAUUUGAAGAGUCGAAUUCGUGGGACAAGUCUUUUAAAUAAAAGCUUCCAAAAGACAAGUCAAACUCUGGUGGAGAGAAAUUCGAGGAAUUAAAAUCAAAGAACUUUAGUUAGUGUGUGAGUAGAAUGAUGAAUGAGUGAAUUGAAACACGUGCGUAAUUCAGAAGAUGAGAGAGUGUCUUUUGAACUUUGAAAAAACAUGAUUUUAAUAAUAUCUUACUGUUAAAUUUGUUUAUCUUUUACUAUGUUAUUAUAUUUGACUAAGGUAUUUUAUUUAAACAUUAGUAUAAUGUAAUGAUUGAUAUUCAAUUUAUUAGCAUUUAAAUUGAGUUGGAUGUAUAUGUAUGAAGGAGUUUUGUAACAAAAAGGGUUUUUAUCUUGUAUUAGAUUAUGUAAUGUGUGGUUGAUUUGUUUUAUAGAAAAAAAAGAUGAGAAAGUUUUCAUGUUAUUGACAUUUGAAUUAAAUUUGAAAUGCAUGAAUACCUUGUAUAUUAUAUGAAGUAUGAUGUAGAUAUAAUUAUUAAUAGGAAAUGAAAUACUAUGUUGAUAUAUAUAGUAUAUAUAUUGAAUUCAAGAUUCAUAUUAAGGAGAUAUCUUCACUCUACUAAUAUAUUAGAAUCAAAUAGAGGAAGAUUAUUAGGUGGUGAGAGUUGAAAGAGGUUCCCAUGAAUGAGUUUGUGGUCUGAAAAAAUAGCCUAUUUGACAGGUCACAUGAAUUUACCUUGUUAUAUGAAAGAACUUGGUUCCUAUUAAUGUAGUUAUGUUGGAGAUACAAUAUUGUGAAGAUACUAUGUAUGAUGCAUAUCUCUCAGUCAAAUUCAUCGCAUAUGUCUUUCAGAAGUAAAGUCAUGUACUGGUCAGACCUCAGACAUUGGCUGAAGAAAUCGGCAUCAGACGUGACCUCGGAUCUCGGCGGUCCAGUCACAUUAAUGGGCCACGUAGGUGGGCCCCAAAGAUAAUAAAGAGUUAUUAUCUAUACGAGAGAGGGACCUAAGUCACGAGAGGAUUCAUGCAUGUGGUGUGUAUAGCACGUACAAGUCUAGCACAAGUAAAUAAUCCUUGGAGGCGCUAAGACCCGUUAGGGUUAGGGUUUCCAAGGAUAGAUUGCAUGCAUGACACGUGAAUACUCAGGGCAUCCAUAGAACAUAUGACUUUGUAGCGCUGGUACAUGAGUUGGUACCCUGACGCCCAUCCUGUUAGAGAUUUUGCACUCCAGAAGAGGCAAGUCUUGUGUCGCGGCUGCGCUAAGCUAGUGCAACGCGUCAUAGGAUGCCUCACCAGUAACCCUAAUUUCAUUAAAGGAAAGAUCCUCGUGGGACAAAGAGUUGACCUAGAUACAACCUAUAUAAAGGGUGGUAAGAACCCUAGAAAAGGUACACCAUUUUUAAGAAUGAAACUGCUUUACAUACUUUACUGUUUCUUAGCCCAGUACUGACUUGAUAAUCGGAGUGCAAUCAACAGGUAGGGUCCCCUAUGUUUCAACGGAGCCACUCUCAACCACCCAAGAAGAGAGCUGAAACCACCAGAAAAUAGGAGGAGCCACCAUCUGCCUUUGGAGUCAACGACAACCGAGUCAACCGGCGAGAACAAGUCAAAUGUUUUGUAAUGUAUUUCAGACAUAGACUAUAGAUGUUAUGAAAAACACUUGACUCUAUAGUAUGUAUAAAUUAUUGAGAAUGGAAGUUUAAGAUAUAUUUAUUAGCGUGUAAUAAAAGUAUUGACAUGAAUGUUUUUUAAAAUUCUAACUUAUUCUUAUUUGUGUGUAUUUAUCGAUUAUGAUAAUAGUGUGUUACACAAAAAGUAGUAGAUGUUCCAUAUGAAAAAGUAGAAUAAUAGAUAAACAUAUUUUAAUUGUUUAUUAUAUAUAUAUAUAUAUAUAUAUAUAUAUAUAUAUAUAUUACUCAAUAAAGAAAACAUUAAUGAUUAUAUUUUAUCAUAAAUAAUUAAGACUAAAAACACACGGUUAAGUAUAACUUUUAAAAGGUGUAGUUUUAAUUAAUUAUAGCUUAUUAAAGCUUGUAAUUAUUUCUAUAUAAUUAUGUAGCUCAUAUUACUCCCUUAUAAGAAAGUGUAUGUCACUUUAUACAUAUACACACUUACAUAUAAAAACCCAUACAUAUAUACCCAAUAAGGGAGUCUCUAUCCCAUCAUUCAAUUUUUUUCAAUAAAUUUGAUGAUUAAAAUUAGUUAUCCAUUAAAAUAAUUAAAAUUCUUGGACAAAAUCAUUAAGGAUAUGUCUCCUCUCUCUAUGCAGAAUUUACAUUCGUAUUUAUUCCUUUUUAGUUGGAUAUAAUAACUAAAAGGUGAAUAAGUUGUUAUAAUUAUUAAAUGAAAGAAAACGAAAAUAUUAGAAGAAAUAUCUUUUAAAAUUAUAUAUUAUAUCAAAAUAUAAUUAAAAAAAGUAUUAUAGUUCAUUGUCGGCAAGUCGUAAUCCUAGUACUUCAGUGCAUGUAAAUGAUGAAAAUAAAAAAAUAAUCAAGUAAAUUUUAUUUAUAAUUUACAACAUAAUCAUAAUAAUCAUAAUAAUAAUCAUAAUUUGUAAGAAGUUUUUAUAAUUGUUAUUAUUAUUAUUUAUUAAUUGUUUUUAAUAUAUAUUAAUGUGAGUGAUUGUUCAUUAUUAGACGUAUAAAUUCAUUGAUUUAAAAAAUGUUUAUAUGGUAUUCAGAAUAGUUUAUUUCAUUAGGGUUAUGGAACGUAACAGUAGAUUUUUCUUAAAGAAUUUGCUAAAAAAGGAGUAAUAUUAGAAAAAUAGAAAGUUUAUAAUAAAAGUAAUAAGAAAACAUAUAUCAACCCUGUAAAAAUUUUAAAUUACAGAAGAAGAUAAUAUUGCAAUGGAGGGGAAAAUAGGUAAUGAGAAUUAAUGCUUUCAAAGAAAAACAGCUUCAUAAAAGGAAUUGAUGUUAGAACACUAAAGCAAUUUUAAUUAGUAUGUUAAAGAAGUCAACUAUUUGAUUUUAAAGUUCAUAUUCAGAAGUCAAAAGCAUUUUUUUUCCAUAUUUUAAAAAUCUCAAAAGAAGUAAUGAUUUAAAUAUGUUUUAUUUUUUUUAUAAUAACAUAUUAUUUUACAAUUAAUCACAUAUUUUUCUAUAAUUAAUCAUCGUCACAACCUAAAAUAAUUUUUACCAGUUUUACAUGUAAAAUUAGAACUUGUUUUUGUUCUAAACAAUAAAAAUUAUUACCGAAAUAAAUUAUAUUUCACAUAAUAAUAUUUAUUCAUAGAACAUUAUUAUUUUAAAAUAAAACAUAAUUAUUUUAAUUUAAAAUAAAAAUAUAAAAAUAUAAUUGUACUAUUAUUCAUAGAGUUUGGUAGGAAGUUUAGUUUGGAAAGUGGUGCAGCAGACCCACUCUGAAAUACUAUGAUUUUGAGAUAAUUAGUUAAUGUGCUGUUUGACUUUUACUAGAUAAUAAAUUAGUGUAAGGUUAAACCUCAAAAUGUUACUGAAAUAUAUUUAUAAAAAAAUCAUAUAUUUAAUAAUAAAACAUUUUAAUAUUGAAUGAACAUACUUAUUUAAAUAUUUAAAAUACACAAUUUAUAAUAUUAAAUGCUACAUUAAUAUUUAUGAUAUACAUAUACAUAUAUUUGUAAAAGGAGGUUUUAACAUAUCAUAACCGAAACAUUUAAAAUAGUUCUUAAUCAUUAAAUACUUAACAUUAAUAAAAAAUAAAUAUUAUUUUUAUAUUUACUUAAAUUAACCUAAACUUUACUAAAGUUAUUAAAUGUAGUCAAAUUUACAUAAAAAAAAAAUUAAGUACUUUAGAUUAAUAAACUAUUAAACUUUAUAUAUAUAUAUUUAUUUAUUGUAUCUAUAAAAAAUAAUUAAAAAAUAUCAAAAUGUACUUUAAUAUUAGUUCAAUUCCAUAAAAUCAUAUAAUAAGAUGAAGUUUGCAUUCACAUCGUUUAUACUCGAUAUUAGAUCUCCAACAUAUUUAUUAAAAAAUAAAAAAAUUAUUUAUUGUAUUAAAUUUUAUAAAUUAUUUAUUGUAUUAAAUUUGAUUUAUUAGAGAAUAAUGUAUCUCAUUAUAUAAUGCAAUAUAAGACUCAUGUAGACAUAUAUACAUGUAGUCACGUUGUAUCCAUGAUGACUCUUCAUUGGCACGAACCAACACUACAUAAGUUAACUUCCGCAGCAUUCUCUCACCGCCACGUUUCCAAAGCACUUUUUCACCUUUCUAUCAUCUCCAAAAUCGCGUUCGCUUUUACUUAAUCUUCUCAGAAUCUCGUUUCCUUUCAUUCGCCGGCGAUGAUGAGUUCGGCGGCGAGGAUGCCCAAGCUGGGCUCCUUCCGUCACAGCUUCGCCGAGAAGAAGGAGAGGCUACUCUCCAUGAAGGGCGGGGGUUACUCCCAAAUUGGGAUCGCGCUGCCGGAGUCCGACGAGGAGGACAACUGGCCGCCCAGGCGAUGCUGCUCCUACCGCGCUGUCUCCGACGGGAUCGUCGGCACGUGGAAGAGCGCGAAGCGCGUGGCGGCGAGAGCGUGGGAGAUGGGGAUGUCUGAUCCCAGGAAGAUCAUAUUCUCCGCCAAAAUGGGACUCGCUCUCAUUCUCCUUACGCUUCUGAUUUUCCUUAAAAAGCCCUUUGAGGACAUUAGUCGAUACUCCGUUUGGGCCAUUCUCACCGUCGUUGUGGUCUUCGAAUUCAGCAUAGGUAUCAACCUUCAAUCUACUCUCCUUUUUCCACUGCAUAGAAUUCUUUCCAAUUCGAAUCUGUGAAAAAUGUUAUCGGACAAAGUUUUUUGUCCGAUUAUGUCAAUAUUUGAAUUUGAAAUCAAAACCACCACAUGGAUUUUUUUGUUAACGUUUUAGGAUGUAAAUUCAAAUUUGAUAUUACUAAUUAAUCUUGUGUUUUUAAUUCACACUGCUCACUUAAAGUCGAGAUUCUAGCUGACCCCACGAAAAUUGGUUCAUUUGUUUUCUUUUUAUAUUCAAAUUCAAAUUUUGAUUUUUAAAUAGAAAUUAUUAGGGUUUGUUUGGAUUGAGUCUCUUUUUGGAUUUAUUAUGUAGUUACAGUGUUGAAUACACUAUUAUUUAUAGUGUCUUGUGGGAUUUAGCCAAGAGUAUUUCUCCUUAGAAUACACAAAAAUAAAAAUUACAUUUCCUCACCUAAAUUAUCGUGGAGUUUUUACUGUAAAUAUAUUUUGGAUUUCAGCUUGCUAAGAUUAGAUUAGCAAAUAUUGAAAUUAUAGUAAAUUUAAAGUUGAAUAUAUCUGUACCAAAAAGAAGGUUGAAUAAUAAGUACUAUAUACAUAAAUACACUGUGGAUGCCUGAGUCUGUUUUCUAAUUGAGGGUUGGUGUAGAAAACUUUUGUAUUGUUAUAUAUCUGAAUUAAAUUCUUAUCAUUAUAUAUACUCAUGAUGUUCGUCACAAUCAUAGUGUUAUUUUUGAACAUGUAAAAAGUACACCUCUUUCCUUGUACUUUUUUUCUUUCCAGACAGACACUUAUUAUUAUGGUGUCUAGAAUUGCACGUGAGUGGUAUAAUUGGCACGAACUUAUUCCUUUUAAAGUAACACACAAAAUUGGAACUUGCUAUUAAGAACCAAACUGAUCUCUCUCUUUCUUUUGUUUUUAAUUAUAGGACCUAAUUAAUUUAAUGUGUUUUCUGUGACCAAGUUAUUGUCAUUUGUAUAAGCUAUGGAUUAAAAAAAGGGUUUUGCUAUUUUUAUUUUCUUUUUCGUUUUUGGCGUUUUAAUUCCUCUUCCUCAAGGGAAUUUGGCGAAGAAUAUGCCUGGAUCAGUGCGUAAAAGCCUUAAACCUUUGAUUGUGGUAGAGUGAUACGUUGGUUCUGUUAAUUUAGUUAGUUUGUCCAGGAAACUAGUGCUAACUAAUCUAAGGAAAAAUACUUGUUGACCAGUGUCUUGAGGGCAGUGGGAAAAUUCAAUUUUUUUUGUUAAAUAUUAUUUUGAGUUUUUAAAGUAAUAUUGUUUUCUUUAUUAAAAAUAUAUUUUACUUUUGUUUCCUUAAAGAUUUCUUAAGGAUACUCGGUAGAAUUCUCCUAUUUAAUUUAUGAGCAUAGGCAAAUGCCAUUCUAAUUUUAAUCAGAGAAAAAAAUCAUAUAAUUUUCCCUAGUUUCUUCUGUCUUGUAAUGAAUGAAAUCAUAGACUAUAAUUUUUUCUGCUGCAUGUUCCAAAGGCUCUACUUAUUUAAUUCCACUGUAUUCACGCACUUCAUCUUUUAUUAAAUCCAAUAUUUUGAUCAUAAAUCAUUUGCUGAAGUAAAACAUUUAUUUGUAAAUUCUAAUUUCAGUUACAAGCAAUAAUUUGUGACAAUGUACUCCUGCAGGGGCAACUCUUAGCAAAGGGCUUAACAGAGGAUUGGGAACUUUGUUAGCUGGAGGUCUAGCUUUGGGAAUGGGAAUUUUAUCACAAUUGGCUGGAAAAUGGGAAGAGCUCAUCAUAACUGUUAGCAUCUUCACUGUAGGUCAGGAACUUGAAUGACUUCUAUUUCUUAUCAUGUUGAUAAAGAUUCAUCAGAUUUUUUCUUUUUUUGAGUGUGCCUUUUUCUCUGACAUUGUUAUUGUGUAUGAAUGUCAGGAUUUUGUGCCACAUAUGCAAAACAAUAUCCAACAAUGAAGGCUUAUGAAUAUGGUUUCCGUGUGUUCUUGAUCACCUACUGCUACAUUAUUGUAUCAGGGUAUCGAACAGGAGAGUUUGUUCAAACAGCUAUAAAUAGAUUUUUGCUCAUUGCCCUUGGUGCUGCUGUGGCACUCGGGAUAAAUGUAUGUAUAUAUCCAAUAUGGGCUGGUGAGGAUCUGCAUAAUCUUGUGGCAAAAAAUUUCACGGGCGUUGCUGCAUCAUUGGAAGGUUGUCUUAGUUUGUGGAAUUGUAAUAAAGUAACAAGUAAUAUUUUAGUGUGGCUUCGUAAUCUCAUUUCUUGGGUUGAAUAACGUUGUUUGGUUUCUUUUUCAGGUGUUUUAAAUAACUAUCUUAAUUGUGUUGAAUACGAGAGAGUGCCUUCAAAAAUUCUUACAUACCAAGCUGCAGAGGAUGUGGUUUACAAAGGCUACAGAUCAGCUGUUGAAUCUACAAGCACAGAGGAUGCAUUGGUAUCUUGUCUUUUUGUUGUCCGUUUCACUUUCACAACAAAAUAUUGAUAAUCUUUUUGACUCAUUAAUACGUAUUUCUUAUUGAAGAUGGGUUUUGCUGUAUGGGAGCCACCUCAUGGUAAAUACAAAAUGCUUAGAUAUCCUUGGCAAAAUUAUGUGAAAGUAAGUGGGGCUCUAAGGCAUUGUGCAUUUAUGGUCAUGGCUAUGCACGGAUGUAUACUUUCUGAAAUACAGGUACUUCUUAAAACUUUUCUGUUCCAGAUACUCCGAGUCUUUAUAAUCUUUUGUAUUUACUUUUGGUGGAUGAUUUUUAGGAUUUUUUUUUAAAUAUGCAGAUCUUGUGAUGAUUGGUUAUUUUAAAAUUUUGUUAUCAUUCUUGAUUUAUUUCCCUCUAUGUUUGUUAUUUAAGUGGAAUAUAUUAGUUCUAUUAAGUGUUUUAAAUGUUUAAUACUUAGAGAAGAUGUAAUUUUCAAGGUUGAUAUACUAUUUUAAAUAAUUGUUCUGGCGUAGAAGUUUGGAGAUCAUCAACCAGAGGAGAGCCGUCCAUCCCUUUUCUCCUUUUCCAAUUGUUCCUUUUAAUAUAACAUUUGCUCAUUUCUCACUCCUCAUUUCCAAUCUCGUAUAAGACCUUGUUCUUAGUCUCUAUUCAUUACAUUUAUUACUUACUCCUCUUUAAUCUCAUUAUUUAUAUUAAAAUGAUCUAAGUGCCUAGCGGUAUGAACGGGGUUCACCAAUUAAAUGGAUUUAAUUAUCAUAUCUUACUUUUAUGGGUCAGUUAUGGCGGAUCCCCUAAGUUUGGGAUGGUACAUAGGCUCCCAACCUCAAGCUGAGUAGGUAAAGAUGUUUAUCCAGUGAAAAACCUGGAAAUAUUGUGAUGUAAGUUGUGUCUAGUGAGUUUAUGGUUUGCAUGAAAAUAUUAGAUCGCCCAAUACAACAUAAGUUGCUUAAUCGGUUUAUGACCGUGUUUGCUCUCAACGUUUUAUCGAUUACCCAUACAAAUUACCUUACAUGCUAAGGCUUGACAAUUGCGUAAGUUAAGAAAAACAAACUUACUUGUGUCGCAUGGGAUUAGACUUUAAACCGCGUGAUAAAUCGGUCUUAGUAGAUAAUAUUAAAAAUACCUUACAUGCUAGGGCUUGACAAUUGCCUAAGUUAAGAAAAAUAAACUUACUUGUGUCGCACGAGGUUAGACUUUUAAUUGUCUGAUAAGGUUGGUCUUUGUAGAUACCGCCGAUAAGGAUAAAGUCCGUCUUCGUAGAUAUCACCUGAUAAGAAUAAGGUCGGUCAACUCUGCAACCACCACUUCGACCUCCACACCCGUUAGAUAACCCUUGUCACCACACUUAUAGAUAAAAUUUGUUUAAACAAAACAUAGGAAAUAAAUUAAUUAAUCAAUUAAAACUCUAAAAUGCCAAACUUUGAAAUUUAAAAGACAACCCUAGACACUUUCCUCAAAACAUGCUUAAUUCCUGGUAUUCGAACGCCAAUGAUUUCUUUGAUUUAGAGGCAGCUAUUCCAAUCAAAUAAUGACUGUCUCAUAAGCAAGGCCAUGCCCGCAAUUGAACCAGAGAAAUGUUUAGUGAUUGGAAACCCUAGACUUGGAAAAAAUAAAUUUGAGACAUACUGGAAUUUAGCUUCAUUUUUUGUCAUCCACUGUCAAUUACUUUGGUCCGGAAGUUUAGAAUGUUAUUACUAUUGCUUCAGCUGCUCUUAACUUUGUUAUCCAAUAUUAACCCCUUCAGCCCCCAAAUCUUGUAUUUUUAGUGGCUGAACUAGAGAUGCUGUCAAGUCUUAACCUUAACCCAUGUAUACCCAUACACCACUGGCACCUGGUACAUACUGUGAUUCAGUAUAUUGUUUCUGCCUUAAAAUACCUUUUCUGUUAUUUUCUACAUCAAAACAGAUAAACAUGACGGUGUUAGUUGUCACUUCUUCAUAUUUGACAUGCUAAUCUGUCCUGUCUUUUCUCAUCAUCGUAGGUUGAAUAUGGUCACUGCAUUAAACUGAAGUCUUUAUGAGGCCAAAAUAUCAUUUCGUUUUUCUAUUUCUUGUCAAAACAGUAUAUCCGUAUAACGUGUUCCAGUUCUUCUAAUUUUUACUUCUACAAUUGCUAUUAUUUACUGCUUGGAGGUACACUUUUGGUGGAAUAAUUUAUCUAUAACAUGCAUAAGUGGUGUUAUGAUGUGGUUGAGACUUUAUGGGUCUUGGAGUUAGUUGGGAGUCAGUUAGGAAUGGUUAACUAUCUUUGUUAACUGUUUUUUCUAUUUGUACAGUCUUCAUAUAUUAGGCUUGUAAUUGUCUCUUACAAAGAAAUAACGGGAAACUUUUCUUCUCUAUUUAUCUACUCUCUUCCAAUCUUAAAAACACACUUCAUAUAUCUAUUAAAUAUCCUUGACUAUGUAUUUUUUGAGUAAUCCGCCGAGUUACUCCCUGAAAUUUCAAUUACUGGUUAAUUUAAUGCCUGAAAUUAGAAAAAUCUCAUUUUAGUCCUUACACCAAGCAUUGGUAAUUUUGGUUCUUAAUUUUGUAAUUUCAAAGAUUAAAAUGACUGAUGUUUGAUAACAUUAAGGACGAAAAUGACUGUCAUUUUAGUAACUUUGGGGACUACAAUGCCAUUUUUAUAAUUUUGAUUGUUGCUGAUGAUUUCAAUGAAUUUGGUAUAUUACUUUUUUUAUAGUUCUUUCUCCUGAAACAGAGGAAACUUCAAAUUUUCAGAUAAUUUAAAGUUAAUUAGUUGGCAAAUUUUCAUUUUUAUUCCGAAUGUUUUUUAUAAUUAUGCGAAACACAUGUACUUAACCUUCCCUUUAAUAAACAGGCACCACCAGAGAAGAGACAAGUCUUUAGAAGGGAGCUUCAGAAGGUAGGUUCUGAAGGGGCGAAAAUUCUAAGGGAACUUGGAAACAAAGUAAAAAGAAUGGAGAAACUAGGCGGGGAAGACAUUCUUUAUGAAGUACACGAGGCAGCAGAAGAAUUGCAGCAGAAGAUUGACAAAAAAUCCUUCCUCCUCGUGAAUUCAGAGAGCUGGGAAAUCGGAAACAGGCCAAGAGGGGAGGGUGAUCCUCAAGAUCUCUUGAACGUGGAUGAAGAAAGACACUUUUUGGAGUACAAGUCUCUCAGUGAAGCGGUGCUUGAUCUCAGAGCUGUCAAAGUUCCAAAAGGUUGGGGAGAACAAGCAGCUCCUCCUGAGAAGAUACCUGCAGUGCAUGUAGGUGUUGGUGAUGAAAACAUGUUCAGGAAACAGAUAUCUUGGCCUGCUCAUAUUUCCUUCAAAGAAGAUGCAGUGACAAAAGAAGAAUCUAAAACCUAUGAAAGUGCUAGUUCUUUGUCUCUAGCCACUUUUACAUCCCUUCUGAUUGAGUUUGUGGCAAGGCUCCAGAACCUUGUGGAUUCUUUCGAAGAGUUAGGUGAGAGAGCAAAAUUUAAGGACCCUCUUGAGCAAGCACCAGCAACAACUGGUGGCUUUUGGAACCGGUUGUGUAAUGUUUUGACGGUCAAGGAUUGAGAAUUUGAGAAAUCACAUGUAUUUUAUGGACUGAUCUAAAUUAAAUGCUGAAAUCCCAAAAUCAUAGUGUGUACUGUUUCUAUUCUUUAGGUCAUCUGAACUCAUUCUCAAAGCCAUCAUUCUUUAUCUGAACUCACUAAAUUUUAACAUCAUGUUAAAAAUCUGCAAACAUAUUUAACAGUUUUUUAAAAAAAGUUUAAAAAACUAUUAAUGAUAGUUUUAGAGUUACAAAUUUGUUUACCAAUGAUUAAUGAUUUGAAUAUACAUUUUGUGGUUGUUCUAGUCAAGGAUAUUGAUUGCUGUCCUCAUGUUUUGAGAGAGUAAGAGUAUAUUUAUAGACCUGAAAACAUUUAAUAUUUACCCUCUUUUAAAGGUAGUUGUUCUUUAUUGCUAAGACAUGCAUGUUUGUUGGACUAGGCCCCAAACUACCUUUGUAUGGAUGGUUCCAUUAAGAUAUACGUGUUUGUUACAACUUUCAAAUAUCAUUGGUGGAAAUAAUUACAAGUCUACACUAAAAAGUUAGUUAAAAUAAGUUCUCAUUAAACUAAGCAUUUAUUUUCAUUUUUUUAAAUUGUCAACAAACGUUAAUUACUCUAUACUUUUUAGAAAAAGAAUCACUAAAUUGUUUUAUAUAUUUUUUUAAUCUUGAACAAACUAAUUCUAAAUAACACAUGCAUCAACAAUGUAAAAUUACCACAUGAAAAUUUUGUUAACUUCUAUAAUUAUCAAUAUGAAAAUUCUUCAUCCAUUACAAACAUUCUUUACAAAAUAAAUAAAAAUUAAGCUCAAACAAUUAUUACUCCAGUUCAAAAUAUUAAUCCCUUAACACUGUAACAUACAAAUAAAUAAAAAAUACUUGUGAUUAAAAUACUCUCCAUUUAUAAUUAUUAAUUAUUCUAAAUUUUCAUUCUUUUCAAUUACUCACAAUUACAAAAAAGAGUAAAAAUUUGCUACAAAUAUAUAUAUAUAUAUAUAUAUAUAUAAUAUUUCAACAUAUGCAUCACUUUGUCUUUUCAAUUUGGAACAUUAUUAGAAAAAAUAAUUUAAAAAGCAAACAAAUUACGAUUUAAAAAAUUAUUAUUUAAAAUAGAAGAAUUAAUUGACAGUGCAUAUUAUUUGUAGUUGGGUACAAUUAUUUUAAAGAAGAAAUCAUACUUACACUACAAUGUUUUAUAAUAUAUUUUUUUACAAUUAUAAGAAGAAAUUUGCAGCCAAUGAUGAACAAUACAAGGGAAAGAAGCAGUUACACCCUCGAGAAUGGUGAAAUUCCAGGGAAAAUUAUAAAACCAAUUUUCUCUCUAUCCAAACCAAACGGCAGAUCCGAUCCGCGCUACAUUCCCAUUCCACUCCGUCCUUCAACAAAUCCCCUUUCAGGUGCCACACCAUCACUUCUCUUUCUUCCCUCUCUCUGCCACAACAACACAUUCAUUCGUUUUUUCCUCUCUCAUUUUUUCUUUUUCCAAUUUCUUUCUCAACUGCGACGCUCCAUUGCUUUAGAUCAACAACUGAAUCGUAGAUUUUGUGUCUUGUUCUCUCUUUUUCCUUUCGUCGUUUUGUGUUUUUGAAUUGUUGCUUAAUUGAAAUCGAGUGAAUCGUCGAUCUCCGAUCCUUGCAGUUUUCGAGGAUCCGGUGAAACCUCAUGGCGAUGGUGGACCAGCCUCUGUAUCCGAUUGCCGUCUUGAUCGACGAGCUGAAGAACGAGGACAUUCAGCUGCGACUGAACUCGAUCCGACGGCUAUCCACGAUCGCGCGCGCGCUCGGCGAGGAGCGCACGCGGAAGGAGCUGAUUCCGUUUCUCAGCGAGAACAACGACGAUGACGAUGAAGUGCUUCUCGCAAUGGCCGAGGAGUUGGGCGUUUUCAUUCCCUACGUCGGAGGCGUGGAACACGCCAACGUGCUUCUUCCUCCGCUGGAGACGCUCUGCACCGUUGAGGAAACUUGCGUCAGAGACAAAUCGGUGGAGUCGCUGUGUAGGAUUGGAGCUCAGAUGAAGGAGAAUGAUUUGGUUGAACACUUCAUUCCUCUAGUUAAGGUAGUUCAUAUACAUAGCUGCAUUGCGUUUUUAAUCAUCAUUUUAUGUUUUGUUUUUGUAAACUUCGUUGUAAGUACUUUGAAGUGAGUUUUCCAUAAGCUAUACAAUCAAAUUAUGCCCCUUAGGUUUUGGAGAAGUUAAUGAAAAUAAUUUCUAUGAAAAUUAAAUGCAUAAGUUGAUUUGAGCUUAAGCUUCAACUCAUUUUACUUGCUCACGGAGAAAUUUAUCUGAAUAGGGUCAUGUUAUGAGUCUGAUUGUGGUUUGAGUGGCAUUCAUUGUUUUUGUUAUUUUGCUUCUUGUAGAGGCUGGCUGCCGGUGAGUGGUUCACAGCACGAGUUUCAUCGUGCGGUUUGUUCCAUAUUGCUUACCCUAGUGCGCCGGAGGUGGUGAAGACUGAACUGAGAGCCAUAUAUGGCCAGCUAUGUCAAGAUGAUAUGCCCAUGGUUAGGAGAUCUGCUGCCACAAACUUGGGAAAGUUUGCUGCCACUGUUGAAGCUCCUCACUUGAAAUCAGACGUCAUGUCUGUGUUUGAGGAUCUUACACAGGAUGGUAUGUGAAGAUGAUGCCACGAAUUCCAGCAUCUCAUCAUGAAUCUGUUAUAUAAGAGUAGGAUAGAUGCAACAGUAUUAGUGUUUGUAAAUUGUAUAUAGUUCAAUAAUUUUGCUGCUUAGAUGAGUUGAGAACCCCGUAGUUAGGUAUCUGUGAAUUCUCAGGAAAUCUGUUUCCUUUAGGGAUUUAUGUUUGUCUCUGAUCACUCUGUCUAGAUUGGGAAUUAGAUCUAUUUAAGUUCAGAAGAUCAACAAGAAGGAAACUGAAAACAAAAUAGAAGAUUGAAUCUGAUUAAGGUAUUUUUGGAGUCUUAGACAAGUUUCAACUAUUUCGUGCGUGAUGUUAAUCUGAAAGGUAUUCAUCAAAGUAUAGAUCCUAGAAUACAAUUUUUUUUAUGAAACAGUCUAAUAGUUUCAACUGUUCAUAUUUAAUCUCUUCUCAUCUUAGUUUGCUCUUAGUUAGUCCAAAAUCUAGGUAUAGAAGGAGAAAUAUGUAAGUUAAAUGGUUUAUAAAUAACUGCAGACACUUGCAGACUUUCAUUGAUGACCCGCCUACUGUUCAAGUGAAAUUCACGUAACUGCUAGUUAUGAAUAGAACAAUGUAUCAUUCUUCCUUAUAAUAUUAUUGGGAAAUUUGGCAUACUGAAGUUAUUGUUAUUGGACUGACUAAUGGGAGAAAUGAAUACAGGUUUAGUGUGUUAUGGUCAUUUGUUGGGUAAUUAUUUUAGUGAGUUUUUUAAGUUUUUUGGCUGGAUGGAAUUGCAUACAUUAAAAUGAUUUCUUGACUCUUGUUCUUGCAGAUCAAGAUUCUGUUCGGCUGCUUGCUGUUGAGGGUUGUGCAGCUCUAGGAAAAUUGUUGGAACCUCAGGAUUGUGUGGCACAUAUUCUUCCUGUCAUAGUCAAUUUUUCUCAGGUUUGUUGACCUGACCAUUAGUACUUCUAUAUAUGUAAAGAUAUAUCUUCCAUAGCCAUUUUGUGGCCAACACUUAUCAGAGGGAUGAUUGCAACAUUUCGGUUGCUUUAGUUUAGUUAACUGUAUAUGUAAGAGUAUAUCGAUAGGCUGAAUACAGGUUUAAUUAUUGGCCCGUGCCUUUCCAAACAUAUGUUCCACUAUGCAAAUAAAUUUGUUUUGUUCCAUAGGAAGAAAGCGUGUGGAAAAUAUUAUCUGUUUAAAUUUCUUUUUUCUAAUGUAAAGAAUGUACGGAUGGAAAGCAAACACUUAAUUGCAAAACUAUUUAUUUUUGGUGCUUUGUAAUAUUGUUUCAGAGCUUAAGUGACAACUUACUACACAGCCAUAGUACCAACAAUGCUUUGAUACUACUGAAUGUUGGGUGGUACUGGUACAGUGCCAACAAGAGCACAAGCUAAGUGUUGCUGACAUGAUAAUAUAAAACAGAGGACGGACAAAAGAAUAGACAAGGUUAGGAAAUAAAUUGAACUUUGUGAAUAAGAGAAACUUGUUCCAAUAAAUUAGCACAUAUACAAACACCGGACAUGACACAAACACUACGAUACAUGUAAUCUAAAAAAUGUAGGACACAUGGACAUGGAUAUAUAUUACAUCAUUAUGAAUUAUUUAAAUUGACAAUCAAUAUAUAUAUAUAUAUAUAUAUUUAAAAUCAUCUAUAAACAAAGUUAGUCAAAUAUAACAGUCUAAACAUAUUGUCACCUAAUACAAAAAUGAAUCUCAUUCAUCUAUCUAAAAUCCAAAAAGUGAAAAGAGGAUAUAAAUCAUUUAAGACAUUUCAUCCCCUUCUUAAUCAUCAUCAUUGAAAAAGACAGUUUAGCCGAGAUUCAUUUAAAGAGAAAUUAACAAUUUCACAAAAUUCAACAUUAUAUGAAGAUAUGAUAGGAGAAUAAAUAAAAACAUUUACCAUAAUAUAUAUAUAUAUAUAAUCUAAAUAUUCCUAAUUAUAUACAAUUUCUUUCUUAUUUUUAUAAUCAAAAUAGAAACUUACACAAUAAGUUUAUGAGCUUUUAGAAAAUCACUAUAUUUGUCCUUAUUAACAUUGUGUUGGAGCCGUGUCAGAAUUAUGUCUUAGACCCCAAAAAUGUUUUUUGAAUUAGACACUUCAACAAUACGUGUGGUACGAGUGUCAUAUGCGUGUCAGUGUUCAAUACGUCUCAGACAUAUGGACAUACCAUUAAGAGGUGUGUCUCAGCUUCAUAGAUGGGUGUAGUAUAUUAUUUAUAUGUAGUAAACUAGGCUAGUUCCUAGUAGUAGUAAAUUGUUGGACGAGACAGUACAAAGAGUAGAUUUACCCUCAUCCCUCAAGCAUACUAAACACAUGCUUAAUACUAUACUCUUAACAGAGGAAUAAAUGGUAGAAUUGCCCCUAAGACAGUAUGGUCAUAUGAAAGAUGACAAAUAGUAGCUGCAGAAAUAGAGUUGAUUAAAUGGAGGAUAGAUAGGCUAUUAGUACAAGGUAGAGCAAGAGCAAUAAAACUUGAUAAACCAUUAAAAAGCUUAGAUCUAAAUAACUUAAAUAGCUUCUAUAAAGACUCGAUUUUGGGCAGAACACAAUGGUGUGGGAAAAGCAUUUUGUUUUUGUUGAAUAAUAUUGUGUUAAAGGAUUCUUAUUUCCCCUUCAUAGCUAUUUGUUUUGUACGUAAUUGUGGCUUAUUUAUUACUUUUUGAAGCAUACACUUGUGUAAAUAAAUAUUUUAUCGAGCUGCUGACUGAUAUGAAUAUGAUGGACUAUACUUAGAUAUUUGUUGGUGGAAGAAUGAUAAUUCAAAUUAAAAGAUUAAAGUUGGAAAUGGACCUGCUUGGGUGAUAACAUUCCACACACCACUGCAUCACUACAUAUUUAAUUAUUUGAAGUCGCAUGAGAUGAGUUUGUUGACUUGUGAGUGAUAAUAAAUUGCAUCAGGAGUUAUUUGAUAGUUGAAUUAGUUUAAUCCUGAUAUAGGCAGGUGGAUUCUUUUGUGGUUUUACCUUUAGUUAGUUGUUUGCAUGCUUUUCUUUUUCGUAGUCCCAUCCUUUUUGUCAUUUUGAAGAACCUUUUUGUGUUUUCAAUAUCAAAAGCCAGAAAAUUAAAUGAAAAAUUAUAUUUUUUUUGUUGGCUUGUGUUGUUUCCAACUUUCUGGAGUGAAUUUCUGCUUGUUUUUGUCACAUUUACACAGUUGAAAUUACUUCUUAUACAGGACAAGUCAUGGCGUGUUCGUUACAUGGUUGCAAAUCAACUAUAUGAGCUAUGUGAAGCUGUUGGUCCUGAUCCCACUAGGUAACCAUUUGUGUCUUUUAUCUGAAAAUCUGUUUUUGUUACUAUGAGAAUUGACUCAGUAAAAUCUUGUCUAAAGGUUCCUAACAGAUACUAAUCACUAAGCGUUCUUCAUUCAGUAAAAAAAACUAUUAUGCUUCAUAAUUUAAUGUAUACAAGUUAUGACUUCCUGUUAAUUUCUUCAUAAUCUAUGACAUUAUUAAAAAGUUAAAAUUUGUUUGUUUCCUAGAUUCUAGUUGACUGUUUAUAUAAUGCGAUGCAUUUGUAGGUCAGAAUUGGUUCCUGCCUAUGUUAGGCUGCUGCGUGACAAUGAGGCUGAAGUACGUAUCGCUGCUGCUGGGAAAGUAACUAAGUUCUCCCGCAUACUAAAUCCUGAACUUGCCAUUCAGCAUAUUCUACCCUGUGUGAAGGUAUAUAGUUACUUUGGGACUCUUACAGUUUUGGAAUUUAUGACAAUAGUUCAAUUACACUUGAUCAAGUUUACCUACUACAGGAGCUAUCAAGCGAUUCAUCUCAACAUGUUCGCUCUGCAUUGGCUUCCGUUAUAAUGGGAAUGGCACCAGUGUUGGGGAAGGUACGUGUCUUUAUCUAAACUCUUAAAUUAUAUGAUCAUAAAAUUAGGACAUUUACAAAUGUGUGUGAAAAGGUGUUUCGAAAUGGCUACAAAAUCACAUGGCUUAGGUUAUCAAAUUAAUAAAUGGUUUAGUAUAAGUCUUUGCAAAUGUGACUUAAGUAUUUAAUUGUUAUGAGGGAGAAAAACGAGAAGUAAUUGGAAUGAAUUCAUGUGUCUUGAUUACACAAUGGAGGUUCUUAUUUAUAAUUAAAGCCAUAAGCAUCAUGGGUAAGAUCUACCAAUUAUACUGCUCAUCAUCCCUAAUUACAAUAUUUCCAUAUUUAUACUGUACAUUAUAUAAUUACAAGAUUCCUACCUAUUUGCAUCAAUAGUUAAAUAUGUUUUGUUAUGCUUUUUUCUCAUGGCAGAUAUGUUUUAGCCUAUUAUAACUUGGGGCAAUUGCCAUAUCUACCUUAAAAUUCUAUUGGAAUAUGAUUUCUUGGUUUACUACAUAUUUAAAUUGCCCUCACUAAUCAAUACGUUAAAUAAAGAUUGUGAAAAAAUAAAAUUAUUUUACAUGUUAGAGUCAUUACCAUGAGAUAAAUUUAUGCCCUUGAUCCAUUCACCACCUAACCUCAAUCACUUGAGCUAUUGCUUAGAUAACUCAAUUUUAUAUACCUUUUUAUCUUGCAUAGUUAGUUUUUUGAGUUAGAAUUUUGCUUUUGGGGGAAAAUAUCCUUCUUUUUUAAAUGUACAAAUUAGUUUAAGCUCAUAGUUUGUUAUUUAUACUUUUCUCUUUAUCUUAAUUCCCUUUUCAUAAAAAAAUGGUAAGAAUUAUCUUUCAAAUCAGAUGCUUCAUUCAGGACUUGAUUUCUUGAUUUCUUCUAAUUUUUUUCUUGACUUAUAGAUCGAUCACAUUUCUAUACAACAUCAUUAACUUUUUAUUUAUAUAAAUGUUAAUAUAUUGUUUUUGUGCCUAUGUAUUGUUUAUUUCCCUCUCAGUUUAAAUUUUCUAUAUCCCCCUCCUAUCACUUGCAGUGGCAAUGGCAUUAAAAGUGAGGUUAUAAAUUUAUCACUAUCCAUAAACAUAUCAAGACGCAUGAGGUGAAAUAGGCAUACUUUUUGUUUCUAUGCCUUUGGCAGGAUUUGGUCUAUUUGCUUUCCAAACUUUGGCCAUCCCCCUAAAGAAUAAAAAUUAGUUAAUAAUACUCUGUCUGUACAAAAUAUGAAAAACUGAAAAUUAAAACCUUUCAUCUCAGUGAUCUUGCACUAUUUUAUUUUUGGACCUCUACCUAUGUUCUCCACUUUAGUGUUUUUCAUCUCCUUAUACAAGCACGUUUGUUUCUGUUUUCUAAUACUCUGCUCUGAUGUGAGAAAUAUUUGAUUCUAUUCCUUAAAUCUUGAACUGUUCUUGGCUAAAAGCAAUUCAACUUACGUGCCUUCUUGCUUUUACAAUAAUUUUGUGGUGGUUGCAGGAUGCAACAAUUGAGCAACUUCUGCCUAUUUUCCUUUCUCUUUUGAAAGACGAAUUUCCUGAUGUAAGGCUAAAUAUUAUCAGCAAGCUUGAUCAAGUGAAUCAGGUUUGUGGGUUAAAAUUCAACGUUCUUUUAGAUUGGUUAUGUACGUUUCAGAAUUAUUAUUUUUCAUAUACUCCCUCUAUUGAAGCUUGUAAUUUUACAUGUGGAUUGCAGGUUAUUGGUAUCGAUUUGUUAUCUCAGUCUCUGUUGCCAGCUAUAGUUGAGCUUGCUGAGGAUCGGCACUGGAGAGUUCGACUUGCUAUCAUAGAAUAUAUACCCUUACUGGCCAGCCAAUUGGGUGUAGGCUUUUUUGAUGAUAAGCUCGGUGCUCUUUGCAUGCAAUGGCUAAAGGACAAGGUUUGUGAAGCAAGUGCAAUUAUUUUCAAUUGGUUCUGGUCUUAUUUUUUAAGUCUAUUUUAUGGAAAACUUUGUCUUGAGCUUUACAAAUUUUAUUAUAAAUUUUAUAUAUAUAUAUAUAUAGUUUGGUAAGCAAAUGUUUAGUUUAUGGAUGUUUGUACGGUGCUGUUGGCGAAGAUUGGGAUUGCCCCCAAGGAUCUCUACAAGUUCCUGUGUUAAUUUUAGGGGUUUUAACACCUUAGAACAGCCAAAAGGAUUUGGCACAUUGCUCCAUUUUUGGUAUAUUUGGUUGGAAAGAAAUGCCAAAAGGAUUUGGGAUAGGUUGCGCACUUAACUUCUUUGUGCUCUAAAGGACUUUCUAGUUCUUCAGAGAGAUUGGCAUGCAGUGUUACAUGUUUCAUGUUCUUGAUUUUUAUGUUUUCUUUUCGGUUCUUUCUUGGAUUAGCUUUGGAGGAUAUCCUAUCAUCUUGUAGUUGUACCUUCUUUUUUUCUUAAGAAGUUCUUUGGUUAUCAAAUAAUAAUAAUAAUGCGGUUAUUGCUUUAAUUUUAAAGCUCUCAUUAUUAGGUUUACAAAGUAACUUUAAAUAAACAAGUCAGGUCAAACUCUACCACAGUACUUGGCUUUUUUAUUGCGCUUAUAUCUGACAUGUAUUUGGAAAAGUGGCCUUUUCUUUUUACAUGAAAAGGAAAAAGAAGAAAAAUUGGUGUAACUUAGAGAUCUUAAUUUUAGAGGGCUAAAAGAACAAACAAAAUGUUAAAUAUUAGUUAUUUUAGGUUUAAUUUUCAAUACCACUCAAAGUAUCAUAUAGAGGUUCUAAGUCUUAUGUUUGACGGAAGGUUUAAACUGAAUCCUCCAUUGACCGAGUCAGUUAUAAAAUAUAUUCAAAACUUUUUUGGUCAAAAAGCCAGUUAUUCUUUCUUUCCUUUUUACUAGGGGCAGGUGUUCAAUGCCAUUCUCCUUUUUAUUUUAUUAUAUGUAAUUUAGAUUCAUUGUAUCAUAUUGACUUUGUCUAAUGUAUGCUCAUGUAUUUGUAGGUAUACUCAAUCCGUGACGCGGCCGCAAAUAAUAUCAAACGCUUAGCAGAAGAAUUUGGACCGGAUUGGGCAAUGCAACACAUUAUUCCCCAGGUUUUAAUAGAGGCUCUUAGUUUGUUGAUGUACAUUUGCAGUAUAUUUACCUUGAACUACAGAAAAGGAUUUCUACACCACUUAUAUCAUAGAACAUCCUCUAACCAUAUGUUUUGAAAAGAAAAGGAAAAAUCUUAUAUUAUUUAAAGAAAUCGAGAGAAGGAAAACAAGAUUUAUAUCAUUUAAAGAAACCCUAGCUUUGGAAUUAGGUUCGGUGGUGCCUGGUGAAAGAUUCUAUUCUAUCUACUUGUAGAAGUGUGCUGAAAAUUUUGUUACAAAUUACAAUAGACACUUUUCUUAGUACUUAAGGAUUUAAAAAAUAUGUCCUGAAUGCUAUUACCUUAAGAACUAUUGUAUCCUUUGCAGGUUUUGGACAUGGUUACUGAUCCACAUUAUCUGUAUCGGAUGACGAUCCUUCAAGCAAUUUCUCUACUGGCUCCAGUUUUGGGCUCGGAGAUUACUUCUUCAAAACUUCUCCCUCUGGUCAUUAAUGCAUCAAAAGAUAGGUAAAAUUGUAGAGUCCUUACUCCUUUUGUAUGUCUUCCUUUGAGCCAAUACUCAUAGCAUGUCUUGCAGGGUACCCAAUAUCAAAUUUAAUGUAGCCAAAGUGUUGCAGUCUCUCAUCCCAAUUAUUGAUCAGUCUGUAAGUAGCUUCCAUUUAAGAUUUCAUCUUUAACAUUCCAUCCCAUAGUUACUUGGACUACAAUACAGUAUGGAUUUCUAAACUAAAAAACUUGUAUCUUGAAAAUUAAUCAAAUGAGCUAUAUUAAUUUGAUUUAGAAAUAUUGGGGUCCAGAUUAUUACUUUGAAUUGUUUUUUUUUUUUAAUUCUUCACUACAAAAAAGAAUUUCAAACUAGUUACUUGCCGAAAAUGCUUGGAUUACAAAACCAGUUGGUUGAAAGUUAAGCUGGCUGUUUGGUACUGGUAACUGGUAAUAUUAUCACUUGAAAAUCUGUCACAAUACUUCACAAUAGACUAUAGUUUGUUUCUAAUAAAGCUUGUGGCAGUGAGAAGUGAUAUGAAAUCCAUACUGUUUGAUAGAAGAACAUAUGUUUUUGAAUGUCUCUUUAACUAAUUAUGGUUGGAAUAAUGAAGGUUGUUGAGAGUAGCAUCCGUCCCUGUCUGGUUGAGCUGAGUGAGGAUCCAGAUGUUGAUGUCAGGUUUUUUGCCUCUCAAGCACUACAAUCUAGUGAUCAAGUCAAAAUGUCUAGCUAGAUCAGUAUGCAUGUUGUCGUUAGUUUUUUUAUUUUUUAUAUAAGAUUUACAUUUUCUUGUUUAAUUGGCGACAAGGAAACUUGUCCAAUCUUUUGUAUCACAUAUUAUUGUGGUGAUCCUGCUUUACUUUCAUUUUAUCCCUAUUAUCAGGUUCUUUGUAGUGAAAAAACAUUGUCAGGAAGUGAGAUGGUUUUUGACUACCACUAAUUAUAUGAUUUACCAAUGUCAACAUAUUUUGUAUGAAAUUUUGAUUUACCAAUACAAUUAAUAUAUUCAUUAUCUGUUUACGUGGGUAGAAGUAUCAACUUAAACUAUUAAUAGGGUAGGUUUUCUCUUCUUGUUCUUGUACUUCAAUAUUAGUGAGAAAUGUUCAAAUUAUAAAUAUGCAUUUUUACCAUAAAGAUUUUAUAUUGAGUGGUUUAAAAUUUUUAAUAUCCAAUCUUCUCCUUUUACUUAAGAAAAAAUAUGUAAGAAAUAAUAUCCAAUCUUCUCCUUUUAAAAUAAUUAUUUAUUUUUGUUAUACUUUUUGAAUUUAUAGACACAUCUUUCUCAUAUUUUUUUAAUAAAUAAAAUUCUUUUUGUAUUUUUAAUAAUAUAUACUCACUUUUUUUAUUUGUAAAAAAAUAAUUAUAAUUUUAUUUAUAAAACGUUUUUUUUUUAUAUUUUAAAAAUUAAAUUUUAAUUUUCAUAAUUUUUAUAUAAAUUUUAGUCAGUAUGAUAUUUUAAAAUAUAAUAAGAAAAAGAAUCUCAAUUUAUUAAAAAUAUAAAAAAAUAAAUGUUAUUCUUUUAGCACAAAAGAAAAGUAGUGUUUAUCUAAAAGCUAAAAAUUAUGAAUGUUGUUAAAAUGUAUAUUUUAAAAUUAGAGACAUUAAGGGAAAACCUGCACAUUAUAGUAAUAUAAGUUUGAUAUUCAUUGUUGAUGUUUUUGGCAACACUGACAUUUCCACUUGUGACAUUCCAAUUGCUGUUUUUGAAAUUUUUUCGGUACCAUCUGACAUUUGGAACUGUAAGUUUUCAUUGUCACCCAACAUAUAACAUUCUCAUUCCUGUCAGUCACUGUCACUCAAUCUGUAAAACAUCCUUAUUCCUGUUUUUCAGAGUUUUGGUGUCUACUCAAGGUUGGACGAACAAUCCUCUUGUGUUAUUUUUUUAGAGUUUUUUCAUGAUAAGUGAACAAAAUUAUUUUUUAUUAGUUACUGUAAAAGUAAAACCAAUUAAUUUGAAAUUGACAGAUUCAAAAUUCAAAAUUAUAUUUUAGAUUAAUUAUUUUAAAAAUAGUUAUGAAAUUUUUAAUUCAUAACUUUAAAUAUAUACUUUAAAUUGCAUAAUAAUCCUAUUAUUUUAGAUUAUUCAAUACAAAAGACUUUCAGAAAAAAGAUUAAAAACUAUAAUUGUUAUAAAAUAUAAAAGAGAAAGUAAUCAUUUUAAAAUAAAUGAAGGGUCUAAGAAGAAAGCGCAAGAAACAGAAGACUAAUAAUGAAAUGCUUUUGGGUUCAAUCCCAACUAGUAAAGCCUUGUGGAUGUUCUAACUACUGCAUUAUCCCAGUGUUUUAUAAAUAGUGAGAUGGUUAACUUAUUCCCACCACCAGUAGUGUCACUAAAAGGAGACUUUGGAUGAGUCUUGUUGACAGGCAUAUCAAACAUAAUGUCUUAGAACUCAUGUCUUAUCAUUGAGUCUGGAAUACACUGUUUGAACUAUUUCUUGAAGAAUAUCAGUAGAGUUAUCAGCUUCAACCUAAACAUUUUUACAUUCAAGAUCAUAAAGAGAAUACAGUACUGCUAACUAAUUUUGUUCAUUGUAGAACAUCAUUGGAAAAAAUGGCUAACACGUGGGAAAAUUGGUCAGAAUCUAACUAGAUCUCAGAAAAAUAUAGGUUUGAUAUAACAGGAUCAAGGAAGUUCUAUUCUCCAUGAAGCUGCUAUGAAUUUUCCUUUCCAGUCGUAAGACAAUUUUCCACUUCAUGAAAGUUGGGUCUGGACAAUUUUAUGCUGAGGAUAAGAGAUUCAGCAGCACCACUUAAACCCUUCCUCCCAACUAAACUCACUCCGAAAUUGCGGUUUAAAAUUCUCAUCCUGUUCUCAUCUCCCUCCACCUGACUCAACUCAAUGACCCGCUUCUUUGAGAGCAAGGCAUAGAGAUAAAGAUUGCCAGAGUCCAAUACAGCACCUCCAAUUUUAACCCUCAGUAAUGAACUGGAAUCAAGAUCAUUCAGCUUUGGAUCAUACAAAGCAGAGAAGCUACCAAAUGUCAUAUCAGGUUUCAAAAACAGUUUGUGCAAAUCAUCAUCCUCCUGGGAGUUACUUUUUGAUGUGUCAAAACCAGGCAUGGAAGACCUCCUCUUUGCCACUCUCAAAAUGUUUGCAGCCUCUCUCAUUCCACUGAGAAACGCUCCAUGCAUAGUCGCAGGAUACUGCUUGCAGGUUGCCUCUCCAGCAAAGAACACUCUUCCAUUCCCAACAUUCUCUCCAAGAAUGUCAUAAUCAUCUCCUGAAGAUCCAACAGCAACAUAAGAGUACGAUCCAUAUGCAAAGUGAUCCUUCCCCCACCGAGUACACACGGCCUGAACCGGAUCCGGAACAACAAUCCCCUUUGGAUUGAAAAUAUCCUUCAGAAUGUCCAACACCCUUUUCACAGACUCCACUGGUGACAUCAUCUCAAACCUAAUUGCAGCCUCCCCAGCAACAAGAGCCACCAGAAGCGGGCCCCCAGACACCGAGGAGUAGCUAUAGAACAGAAAAAACUCACCCCUCAUACUCAAAUCCUCAGUCAAAUGACCAAAAGUAUCAAUGUCCCCACCCCAGAAAUUAUAUGGAAACAACAUUGCAACCUUGUUCAACAACCCAAACCCCAACCUACGAAUAGCAUCCUUCUUCCUCUGAGGAAGCUCAGGCACAAACUCAAUAUCCCCCUUCUUAAGCACCCCCAAUGGCACAGUACAAAGCACCAUAUCCCCUCUAAACUCCAUCCCACCAGCAGAAACCGCCACCCCAUCACUCCCAUACUUCACACACUCCACAGUCCUCCCAUAGAAAAUCGGCAGAUCCUCUGCCAACGCGCGAACAAAUGUCUCAUUGCCCCCUGGAAUGAAGCAAUGAUCACCCCCCAUCUCAUAGGGAUCAUCCUGAUCCCAAUAAGCCAUGGACAAAUUCGCCAUGAGAGUUGCAUUCGCGUACUCCAAAUUUGCAAGGUGCCAAUUCAGCAGCAUCCUCUCCUCCUUAUCCUCAGCAACCUUGUAAACCCUUCUGAAAGCCUCCAAUGCCGUCCCCAAUGGCACAUCCACUGACUUCACCUCCUCAAUCAUGGCCUGUCUAAGCUUACAAACCCUCUCCAACAACUUGUUAAACGAAACUUCAACCCUAGAGUCAACCUCAGAGUCAACACUCCUCCCAUCAGGCAAAUAGAGAGGACAAAUAUCCCUGACCUUAUGCAAAGGCAAACCCAAUUGUCUAGCAAGUACCCCAAGAGGGUUCCCAUUUAUUCCAGUGAGGACACUCCCACCGAAAUCGGCUGCAGCCUCAACACCAUCACCACUAAUCUUCUUCGUCUUGACCCUCCCACCGGGUCGGGUCCUACCCUCCAAAAUCACGACUUUAAACCCCAUAAACACCAAUUGUCUAGCUGCAACCAAACCUGCGAACCCAGCACCGAUCACAAUCACCGUUCCUCGAUCAGACCCAUCGAAAGGUUUCAGCUUUAGGGUUUUAAUCUCAUGCGCGAGGCCGAAGUUAAUGUAACCGUGCUCAAGGAGGAACCGGUACGCGGUUUCGACUAAACCCUUGUGCUCCGACCGGAUCGACCGGAGGGCCCGGUCGUGGGUUAACCAGACCGAAACGUUGGACCGCCACCGCGCCAAUAUGUGGUUUCGGACGACGAUAUAGUUCGAUUGUUCGGAGCCACCGACGGUGGAAACCACGUUCGCUUCGAUCUCUUCCUCGGUUAACGAGUCCACGGGGAACCCCACCGAGAUCGCGAUCAGGGCUUCCACGUCGCAGUCCUUGGCUACGUCGCUUCGGCGGGUGGAGGACGGAGCGUUGAGUUCCGUGAAGAACUUCUUGCGACGGCGACGUUUUCGCGUCGGUGGGACCGGGUCGUGUCGGGUCGUGGUGGAGUCUGGGGAGUCCGCAACGGCGGGCUCGGGCGUCAUUUGGGUGGGGAGGGAGGAGUCUGGGUCUUCGGAGGAGUUUUGAGGAGACAUUGCGACGUCGUUUUCCGGCGAUAAGGGUUGUGAUGGUGGUGGCGGCGGCGGUGGUGGCGGUGGCGGUUCCGGCAUUGUUGUUGGUUCUUGGUUGAGUGAUGGACAGUGUGAUCUUUCGCUCUCAAAUUAAUUGUUUUUGGCAGUUUCGGAUAUUUAUUAUUUUUCUUCUUCUAGUCUCUCACCCUUAUAAUAUUAUUGUAGAAUAAAUUACAUACAACUUUUACUUUUUCAGUAAAUUUUUAUUCUUAUAUUUAAAAAAAUUAUAAUUUUGCUUUAAUUUUAGUUUUCUCUAUGUUUUAUUUUUGUACUUUGAUUGCUUAGAUUUUUUCAAUUAUGAUUAACUUUAAGAAUUUUUCAUUUGGUUUUAUAUUUUUAUUAAUCUUGUAAUUUUAGAUACUUUUAAAAUUGGUAGAAUUCUUUCAAAUCUUAAAAGUUCUUUUAAAUUUGUACGAUAUAAAUCCAAAUAAACCCUAAAAGUCUUUCAAAGUGCUAUAAAUUAUAUCAUUCUUGCAUUAUUAUUUUAAAAUUUGAAAGAUUUUAAACAAUUUAACUAAUAUUUGAAAUAUCACUCCAAACUCCUUCUAUUGUUCUUUUAUAUUACCAUUUCUGUUUUUCUACCUUUAUUUACUUAUAUAUUUCCCCUAUCCACCUAAUAAUUUCUUCUUACAAUACCCUUUUUAAUUAUCCUUUGUAUUGAUUACUUUUCUAUUAAAGUAUAUUUCUUUAUUUUAAUUUAUAAACAAUAAGCACUAUAAGUUAUCUCUUUCUCUUUUCCAUGAAAAUAAAAAAAUUAGAGUUUAAUUUUAAAAAUGAAAACUACUCUAUUAAUGUCCUCUCUCCAUACAUAAAUUAUUUAAGAAUAAUUUUGAAAAAUAUACCAUCUUAUAAAUUAGUUAUAUGCAUUUUAUACGUAGAAAAAGGAAAUAAUAGCCAAUAAAAAAGGAACUCCCACUAAACUUUCUCUAAUACUUUCUUUCAAACACUCUUGAAUUUAAAUCAGUAAGAGAAAAAGUUUAAAAAAGUGUUAAGAAAAAGUGUUGGUGGUGACAUUUUUCUUGAUCUAAUAGUUAUUGGAGUAUAAAAUAACCUAUUAUAUCCAUUACUCUUCUAAGUUCCUAUAUUUUGGGUGUAACUGUACAUUGGCUGUUUUAUUGCAGAAAUAAUACAAGUUAUACUGUUCUUCCUAGAGUAAAUUAUAGCAUGCUAUCAGGGACAAAACUGUUUUUCUUUCUCAAUCUUCUGCUUGACAUGCCACACUCUGCUCGCUUCCAACCAAUUUUUUGCUUUGAGUUAUCAUACACAACUAAGUAUCCUCUGAAUGAAAUGUCUGCAAAGGUCAUAAUCAGUAAGAAGAACCAAAUUAUCACUUAAGUUCAGGAAAAGAGAGGAAAGGAAUGCUGCUCCAUGAAAGUGGAAAAUUUCACGUGAACUUUAAGUCAACUCAACCUUAUAAAUCCAAAUUAGAAGGUAAAGUUUACAUCCACUUAUAUAUUAUGAAAUGUUUUUAUCUCUAGAUGUCCUAAUAGAACAGUUAAAAGGAGAAAGAUGAUGAUUGCAAGAACAAAGAAAAGGUGGGUUAGGGAGAAAGGAGAAGCAUAAAGUCAAAAUGUUAGAUGCUAUUGGUACAAGUCAUACCAAGUGCUAUCAUCUUUUUGCUAAUGUUUCAAGUUAAGGCAGUGGAGAUAUCAAAUAUAAAGAGAGUGAGAACAUGAAUUUUAUAUGAAAAAGUAUAACUAGAUUAAAUGAAAAUUUAAUGCUAAAUCCUAGGAAAGUAUCAAAUGCUUGUAUGUUUGCAAAAUAGUAAAGGCAUCCACUUUUAAUGUUUUCUUUAUUAGUAGUAAAGAAGGAUUUUUAAGAGGAUACAACUAUUAACUAGCACUAGCAACAGAUGAAUCAAAUCACAAUUUCAGAACUGAAAUAGCCCAUGAACUAAUUUAUCAUAACUCUGAUUCCUCUAAUAGUGAUAGAAUCUCAAUAGCAUUUGAUUUCAAAGGUGGCUCAAUAAAUGGCACUACUUCUGCUACACAAAUGGGCUGGCUAGUUGAGUUAUUCAUCAUCAAACACAUUAAACACUAAGGUACAAAGACUUAGGCUAAGUGAAGUUGUGUGAGAUAAAGGUGAUAAAUUGGAGAUUAAAAAAAAUGACCAUGCAAAAAUUUCAGAAAUGGACAAUUGCAGAGAGACUUGACAUUGCAGCAAAAAUCAGUCACUGUAUGAAUCCAAACCUAGAAUAUGUGAAGGGUCUAUAUAUGAAAAGAAAAUAGCCCCGUAUUUGCAAUCCAAUCAUUGACACUUAUACCAGGUAAAAACAACACAUAAAUAGAAAUUAUUGGCAAGAAUAUAGGCAGGAAAAGUUGCAUGAGAAUAAGCUUAAAGGUUUUCAUGAGGGUGAGAGUACCUCCAAGAAUAAUGGAGGAUCCAUCGUUUACAUUGCUACCGUCAAGGAUACCCAAGCAAACAUGGCCUUUGUUCUGCAGCAAAAAAGGUAGCAUUUUAGAAUACAUGACAAUAACAAAAUCAGUUGGAACAAGAAGUUGUAAUAGAAUACAAAGAGAGGAUUACACUAAUGAUCAAGUAACCCUCUGGUGCUAUCUGAAACAUUGUGGACAAAAUCCACCACUUGCUUCCAAACCGAAGAGUUAUGGUCUUGAAGUAAUCCUUGACAUCUUUGACAGAUCUGCAUGCAUGUAACAUGGAUUUUAGAACAACAUGCAAUAACAUUGUAAUUGGUGAAACAUGCAAUAAAAACAAUAGACCUAUUUCAUUUCUCCAUAACAUGGUCAGUCAAACAGAUACAAGAAAAUAAUGUAUUUAUUUUCUGUCUCUACAAAACAAGGUACUAAAGAUGAAGAGAAUCAAAAUAGUGUCAUUUCACCUUAUGUAAUUCAGUUCAUAUCUUGACUGCUUUAAAAAAUUGAUUACUUUAGUUAUUAUAAAUGCAAAAAACAAUUGCACCUUGAGUAAUUUAUCUUACUUGAUUGGGAAAUUUGCUUCCCAGCAAAUGGGUAAAGUAGUAUCUGAAUCAUCUUGAAUGAGUCUCAACCCAGAAACUUCAUUAAGCUGCACCAAUACACAUAAAUAAUGAAUUUGUGGUGUUCAAGAACAGACUCAAGAAAAAUGUCAAAAUGGUUCCAGAUUGAUAAAUGUAAAAACUCACAGAAGCAACAAGAUCCAAGUAUGCUUCUUUUGGGAAAUAUGUAUAAGAACUGCCGCUAUCAAAAACCACCUUUCCUACUUUGCUUUGGCCAUCAAAACUGAGUUGCCGAUUUCCAUAAUUUAUUCCAAGAAUCUCAGUUUGGUAUAAAUCCCUACAGAUUAGAGUGUGUGCCACAUUUAAAUUAGAGAAGAAUCAGAACAAACUGUCAGAAUAAUAGUGCUCAUCCUCAGGGGAAAAAGUAGAUACAGAAAAACUUCAAA